rnacentral:lncRNA from 1 species
AUGGUAUCACUUGGAAUCAGAUUAAUCCAUAUUGCAUCUUUACUGGAGCACAAUCUGGAGUUGCCCUUCUUUACUUUAUCAAUUCAGUGAUUAGAUAUGGAAGCUUAUUAGAAGUGGUUAUGAUCUCUCUCUCUCUCUCUCCGAAAAGGUUCUUAUGGCAAGCAGUUAUGGAAGCUUAUUUGAAUAGGCUGUGAGGGGUUUCCAAGUUAUGUUAUAUUCAGAGGUGAGAAUUGUGAAAUAUGAGGUUUUGGUUUGAUGACUCUUUCUUAAGGGUUCUUAUGGUAAGGGAUUUUGGAAGCUCAAGUUUUUCAGGUUUUUUCCCCUCUUGUCCGCCUAGUGGUGGGCAAUGGGGAGAGAAUUCGUUUUUGGGAAGAUCUUUGGUGGGGUAACCAAACUUUGUGUUUUCAAUUUGUUGAUCUUUACAGAGUUAUUUCUGUGAAAAACCUCACUGUCUCAAAUGUCCUUGACAAUUCCUUUCCACUGUCUUGGAAUUUUAACUUUCAACGCAAUCUUACAGAUUCAGAAAUUGAUCUCCUUCAGAGAUUAAUGUCCUCCCUUAGUUCUGUGCUUUUCUCUCCUUCUUUGGCAGAUUCAAGAGCGUGGUUCUUUGUCUUCGUCAGGAUUGUUUUCAGUGAAAUCUUUUUUCUUGGCCUUGUCAAAAGUCUCAAAUCCUAUCUUGUUCCUUCCGGCCAAGUUCUUGUGGAGUUCAAAAGCCCCUUCAAAGGUUAAGGCCCUCGCUUGGUUAGUAACACAUGGGAAGGUAAACACCAAUGAUAAGUUGCAAUUGAGAAGACCCUACAAAUCCCUCUGUCCUCAAUGGUGCAUUCUUUGCAGAGGAAAUGGAGAGUCGAUUGAUCACUUUUUUCUUUAUUGUCCUGUUACCAUUGGACUCUGGUACAAGUUGUUCAAUCUAGCAGGGUUGGUUUGGGUCCCUCCAAGGAGUUUUGAGGACAUGUUGAUUAUUACUUUUAAAGGCUUGGGGAACUCAUUAAGAGGCAAGACACUUUGGAAAAUCGCUUGCCUUACCUUGAUUUAGAUGGUGUGGCAAGAGAGAAACAAUAGGAUCUUUGAGGAUAAAGGGAGAACGGAGGAGAUGUUAUGGGAUUUGAUUCGGUUCUAUUCUUCUCUAUGGACUUCUUGUACUGAAGCUUUUAGAGGAGUUCCUCUAAGCGUUUUACAACUCAACUGGAUUGCGGUUUGCGCUUCAAAAGUUUGAUGAUUGUUGGGGUUUCUCUUUGUUUUUAGAGUUCUAUUGUUGGGAGUUUUCUCCUUUGUUUAGUUUGUGUAAGAAGGACCUCUCAUCCUUCCCUUGGUUUCUUCUCUUUCUUUUGUAACUUUUCUUUCUCCUGUAUCUUUUCUUCUAUUAAUAUAUUCUUCUUCGUUUCUGAUAAAUAAAUAAAAAAAAUGAGGGGUUUCUGGAUCCAAAGUGGGGAAUGGCGAAUUAUGAGGUUUUGGCAUGAUAAGUAGUGUGAGGAUUAACUUCUGAAGGAGGUCUUCCCAUACUUAUAGAUUUUUGGUAAAUUGAAGAGCUAUAUUGACAUAUUCUUGGGGUAAGACUGAGAACUGCAGGGGGGAGAUGAUGGUGGACAUUCAGAUUGGAAGUAAAUGCAAGAGCUAUGUUGGCAGAUUGCAGGUGUCGGUUCAGCAGAAGGUUGGGGGUUUGGCUUUUGGGAGGUGGAGAUGGUGGGUUCCUUUGUGGAACAGCUGUAUUGUACAGAGUUUGAGGUGACUGUAUAGAUUUCAUGGUUGGGAACAUAGUGACUGAAGAGCGUUUCUUGGUUGAAUCUUUUGGCAGCCGUUCAUGCAGUAGGGGACAGGUUUGCAGUUAAGGAGAUUUUAAGGGACUUCGUAUCCUUCAAAAGCGGCCCUUUUUUAUGUGCCCAGCUGUGUGAGAGAGAGCUGUUGAUGAGUUCAGGAGAUGAAAGAUUCAUCCAAUUGGUUUAUUGUGUUGGAUGAUUAAGGAAUAAUCUAAGCAUCUUCUGGUUCGUUAUUGUGGAUAAGGAAUAUGCUAAUCAUCUUUUGGUUUCAUUAUUAUCUUGUGGUUUGGGACUCCUGGUUUUUGAUUCUUCCGAUGGAAAGUCCUACUGCACUGGUCUCAACUUCAUCUACAGGUUCAUGAGAUACUACAAGAAAAGCUUAGGCUUUUCCUCAGAGUUUUCUUUCAACUUGUGUUGCUUGUGUUGGUGGACAAUUUCUAUUUAUUCUUGCUAGAUGCACUUGUUUGUGAUGCAUGAUGCAAAUCGUUUGCAUUUUUUCCCCGAAUCUCUUCUAUGGUGAUAUACGACGCAUGUUGCUACUUGAGUUGAUGUAUAUGCCCUUUUCUAAUUGUUCUAGCCAAGUCUAUUUGAUAUUCCAAUAGCAACAGCCUCAGCUUUCCUGUUGUUGCUAAUAUUGUUUCGUUUUUCUUUUGGAUGAAGUUGAUAGUGCUGGUGAAGCCUUUGGGAAGGAGCUGGAUACUGAGCACAAAGUUAAUUGUCCAUGGAGAGGAAAUAGCUGCCCAGAAAGCAUGGUGCAGUUUCCCCCAACUCCUCAGUCAGCCCUGAUUGGUGGUUACAAGGACAGAUGUGAUGGCCUUUUGCAGUUCCCAUCUCUUCCUAUUGUAGCUGCAUCUGCAGUUGAGCAGAUGCGGGCUUCUCGUGGCUCACAGAUCGAGCGCCUUUUGUCCCAAUCUCAAAAUUUUAUGGGUGGGGAAGUAGAUUUUCGAUCUGAGAGUAUACCAGAACUUGAAGCCUCCCGAGAUGGGGUGAUCUAUUUAUAUUCUCGGGUAAGAUAUUUUUACACUCUUAGUCCUGCUUGUAAUUGUCUCAAUGAAUUCAUUAUUUUGCUAUUCAGCUAUAUGCUUUUGUUCUUCUAGUUUUAUUUCUUGCUCCUUAUCUUUCUCUUUGGCAGGCCCAGAAACUUAUAAGCCUGUGUGGAUGGGAGCCAAGAUGGCUUCCAAAUGUUCAAGACUGCGAAGAGCAUUCUGCUCAAUCAGCUAGAAAUGGAUGUUCUUUUGGCCCUACCCAAGCACAAGUUCAUCUUUCACUGGAUCCUGGACCGAGCAAGAAUGCAGUCUCUGCUUCAGCAAAAAAAGACACUGGAAAGAAUAAAAUGUUAGCUGUGGAGUCCAGAUGUGAAUCUAGGUCUCCUUUGUUAGAUUGUAGUCUGUGUGGUGCUACUGUCAGAAUAUGGGAUUUCCUUACUGUUCCUCGACCUGCUCGUUUUGCUCCCAACAGCAUUGAUAUUCCUGAUACAAGCAAAAAAAUGGCAUUGACACGUGGGGCAAGUGCAGCCAGUGGAGUCAGUGGCUGGGUCGCUGCUGAUGAUAUGGAGAAAGAACAGACCGAAGAUCGUGAUGAAGUUGCUACCACUAAUGAGGGAAAAUUACUCCCAAACACGGAUGUUGAUUUGAAUCUUACAAUGGCUGGAGGCUUAUCUUUUACUCAGAUGGGUAGGACAGCAAUGUCUGAAAAUAUGCAUGAUGCUGAUAUGGGAAGGGAUCUAAUGAUAGGACAGCCUUCUGGUAGUGAGGUUGGUGAUCGUGCAGCAUCAUAUGAAUCACGGGGCCCAAGUUCUCGUAAGCGGAGUUUGGAAAUAGGUGCCAGUUCAGAUGAUAGGCCACACUUAAGGAUGCAGCAGGCUGAUAGCAUUGAAGGAACUGUCAUUGAUCGUGAUGGUGAUGAAGUCACAGAUGGUAGACAAUACUCAGCUGGACCUUCAAAACGUGCUCGUGACUCUGAUAUAUUUGACACAUACUGUUCACCAUAUAAUAGAGACUCAUCCGGUGCUGGCCCAAGCCAUUCAUUGGGUUUUGAAAUUUAUGCAGAUGCCAACAAAGGAGUUCCAUUUCGACAAGGAAGUGAUCAAGUUGUUGGAAUUUCAUCUGCUAGAGAUUCAACACGUGCAUCAUCUGUUAUUGCCAUGGAUACAAUUGGCCACAGUGCAAAUGAAAACUCUAUGGAAAGUGUUGAAAACUAUCCUGGUGAUAUUGAUGAUGUUCAGUUCCCUUCUUCUAGCAUAUAUGGUAACCUGGAUAUGAAUGACACAUCUGAAAUGAAUUAUAGUAAUCAAGCACAGCAGAGCAUUUGUUUCCAACCUGCUGCUGAAGUAGUUCCUGGAGAAAUGGGGGUCAGCAGUACUAAUGAUGGUGAAGAAAUCUUCAAUGCAGAAAUUGUGACUGCUCAAGCUAGGGAUGGGUUUAGUUUUGGAAUUAGUGGAGGAAGUGUUGGGAUGUGUGCCAGUCAUGAAGCUGAAAUUCAUGGAACAGAUAUAUCUGUCCAUAGAGCAGAUAGUGUUGUUGGUGACGUGGAACCAAGAACAGAAGAUGCUGAAAAUCAGGGUCAGACAGGGGAAUCUGCCCCAGGCCCUGGGCUAAUGGAUGAGAUUGUCCCCGAGGAAAUGAACAGGGAGGAUCCUCAUGGUGAUAGUCAGGAGAUGUUAUCUCGAUCUGUAGGCAGGGCGGAUAGUGGCUCAAAAAUUGAUGGUUCUGCCAAGGCUGAAUCUGUUGAAAGUGGUGAGAAGAUUGGUCAAAGCCACAAGUUACCUCAAGAAAACAACAACCUCCCUUCUUUUUCUUGCAAUGCCAUUGUGUACUCUGGUCAGGAAACAUCCAAGAAAGAGGUUACAAGGGGUGGGAAAGCAUCACUUAGAAAAGACUCUGAAGACCUAGAGUUAGAUUAUGCAGCUGCGAAUGGGAUUGGUAAAGUUUGCUACUUGACUGGUUUUUUAGACAUUAUUAUUCUUUCUAUUCUUUUUAUUUCUUAUUUCCUCCCUGACCUUUAUAAAUUGGUUGUUUAAAGGUAUUUCUUUAGGUGGUAUUAACUAUUUGAUGUGGAAAAGGAAAAAAAGUAUUAAAAAAAAAACCUAAGGUUUCAUUUGGAUAUGUUUUCUGUUUUUUUUUUUUUUUUUUUUAAAUAUAAACUUCUAUAUGAAAAGGAGAAACUCUUAUAGAAAGAGUAUAGAGUUCCCUUAUGUCCUUAAAAUUUACUUGAAAUUUUUUUUAAAAUUUGGGUAGUAAAAUUUUUUUAAUACCCUGAGUUUUUUUAACUAGUUUUGAAAACUACUACAUUUUCAAUGUUAACCUCUUAGAGUUCUUAUAUUUUAUAUGGAAGUUACUAUUAUUUUUUAUUUUUAAAAGUAAAAAACAGGAAAUGUAUCCAAAUGGACACUAAGAAAUUCUUUUACCUUGAUAGGCAAAUGAGAGCGGUGUGUGUGUGUGUAAUGGCUCGCAACUAUAAGUGAGCAUGUGGGGAUUACAAGGAUAACCACAAACCAAAUGCACAUGGGAAACACCCACCCACAGAGAGAGAGAGAGGCAAAAAACAGCCUUAACUCACAACCAUGCUAUCUUCAAAAUCUAUAGAAGACAAAUUCUUAACUGCUAGACAAUACUCAACUAAGCAAAAAGAGAUAUAAGAAAGAAACUUUUGUGCACCGAAUCGUAGCACUCAAAACCAUCAAAGAUCCUUCAAUUUUCCUCUAGGAACACACUAAAACAGCAGAAGGAGUUAUCUGAGUGUGGCCCCUUUUUAUUUGGCACUUUUUUUUUUUUUGAUAAGUAAAGUAUAUUCAUUCAAAAGGCAAAACUAUCCCUUUUUAUUUGGCACUUGUUAAUAAAUUUGUUUGCUUAUCAAAAAAUAACACUACUUUGUCAACUAGCCAAAAUAUCUUUAAGAAACAAGGUAACACCUGAAGACACUCCAAACAAGGGAAGUAAGGAAGACCACAAUUUGCUUACAGUGGAAACACCUAUUAAGCAAAGACUAACUACUUCCUGUGAGUUGGUUGGUAAUAAGGACUUUCUCUUGCACAACUGCCCCAACACAUUCUAGGCAGAAAACACACACACACACACACACAUUUUACCCAUCUUGGAUAACCUUUGCCUUGUUCAUUCACUCCACCAGUCCAGACAUAAAAAAUUUAAGCAUCGAUAGCAAUCAGAGCCUUCCCCAUGUUCCCCUUACUCCCUAAUCUUUAAGUAACCUGUAGCCAUCCCUCUAUUAAUUAAUAAUCAAUAGCCUAAUAAUCUCAUAAAAAACAAUUUGUUGAGGAAUCACUUGGUUCCAUAGUGGAUGACUAAAAAUUUUGAUGCCUGCUUACUUCGUGUGUUCGUUUUUUAUUUUUUUACUAAUUGAGAAUCCCAUUUUAGUUAUUGAUAUAUGUUAUCAUACAUAGAAAAAUAUUUGAGAUAAUUUGUUAGUUAUUGGAAAAUAUGGCCUUGUUUGGUAAUUGUUUUCGAAAAAUAGUUUUUUAGAACAAUUUUUGAAAAUUGUUCUUUAAUGUUUUGUAGAACAAGUGUCUGUUUGGAACCUGAAAUGUUUUAAACCUGUUGUCUAUGUUUCUAAAUAUGUUUUAAAAAUAAUUUUUAUGUGUUGUGCUUUAUUUUUAAUCAUUUUCCAUCUUUUUAUAAUUUUUUUAAAACAAUUAUAAAAAAAUAAGUGAAAACAACUAAAAAAUAUUAUUUGAAAACACUAUUUUUUUUUUGUUUUUAAGAACAAAAACCUAUUUUCUAUUUUUAAGAAUAAAAAAAUGUUUUCUAUUUUUUGGUUGUCAAAAGUUGUUUUAGUUUUUUUGUUCUGGAUAACAGAAAACUAUUUUAAAAAACAAUUACUAAACAAACCCAAACAUCUCACUUGUAUUGCAUUCUUGGAAAAAUGGAUCUUCUCAUAUUCGGAGAAGAAAUGUCAUCAAGUGGGGGACACAACUGUCCUUGGACAAUAUCCCAACCGGUUAGAACCAUGGAUGACCUAGUUACCUCACCAAAGAUAUCAUGAAUAUAUAUGCAUUUUUGUUGGCCAAAUGUAACAUGAUAAUGCAUUUUUACUGUUUGGAUGGUUAGGGAAUUUUUGGAAAAAUGUACAUUAGUUACUAUUGUUUUUGUGUUUUAAUACGUAGUUUACAAAUUUCUAAUAAUUUAAAAAAUUUUAAAUGCUUACUCAUUUUUUCCCUGAAUGGUAAUGUAUUUGACCUCUCAGGUCCACCAAAAGGGGAAAGCAACUAUGAAGAAGCUAUAGAAUUUGAUCCAAUCAUCCAUCACAACCAAUUCUGCCCUUGGGUGAAUGGAAAUGUUGCUGCUGCUGGCUGUAGUAAUGGUGGUUCCAGUUCCACUGCAGACAUUGUUGCCCAUUGUGGGUGGCAGCUGACAUUAGAUGCUUUAGAUGCCUUGAGAUCACUGGGGCAUCUUCCCAUCCAAACAGUACAAUCGGAGUCAGCAGCAUCUUUAUACAAGGUUUGUUGGUCCUCUUAUCAGUGAUAUAUCUUGAGUUCUUCUUUCAACAUUUAAGCAAAUGAAAGUCAAAAGGACUUCAAUUUUAGGGUUUCCUUGAUACUGCUUUUUAAGCAGCUUGUUUAUUACUGUCAUUCGUUGUUCUUAGCUUUCAAAAAUAGCUUUGGAUAAAUUACUUAGAUGUUAUCUAGUUCUUCAAAAUGAGAAAAAACCUCAAGCAGUCAAGCAUCUAAAAUGUUCCCCUUUGAUUAAGAAAUUAGAACUUGGCAGCUUAGACACUCCCAGAUUCCAACAGCCUAGCCCCUUCCAUGCUAUGCAUGAAAUAAAAUAAGAUGCAUUCCCAUCUCCCAAAGAAACCAUAGACCAAGCAAAAUGGAACUUAAGAAAAAGUUCUUUUAUUAACAGAUGCAAAAAGAAAAGAAAAGAGAUUUGGGGCAGUUUACUUGUGACGUGCUUCUAAUGAUGCUCCACUUUUUAUAAUCACCAAAUAUAUAAAAAAAUCAAAUGCAGAAUGUUGUAAACUAAAGGUUCGCUUACAACAUUUCUUUUGUUUUGGUACUGUCUUGUGUCCAAGCAACCAAAGGUUCUGAAGCACUAUAUCUAGAUGUCUGCUUCAUGUGCAGUGGCUUCUCUCACCAAUUAGGGAUCUCUUCUAGAUAGUCCUUGUAAGUGGAAAUUUUGAAGUAUAAAAGAUUUGUGGUCUUGAUCAUCUUUUUUGGUAUCCUAUAAAUUUUCAUUGGCUGAAGCAAUAGAAUCCAAUAUGACGGUCAGUGCCUUUCAGAUGCAACAUGUAAAACAUUAGGUUUUAUUUCAUGACACAACAUUUGUGUGCAUGAAAUGUAUUUGAUGGAUGAAGUUGAUUGCUCAUGUUUUUUUUUUAUUCAUGUAUGGAAUAUUAUGUCUUGUUUUGCGGGAUUGUUUGUUAGGUUGGAUUGUGACAAAGUAUACAUGGUUUUGAUUUGUUCUGUGUUGGUGGUCUUUGAAAGCUAAUCUCAUGUCUUAUUUCUAAAAUUGGUGGUCUUUGAAAGCUACUCUCACGUCUUAUUUCUAAAAUAGCCUCUUUAUCUGCUUUGAGUUUUUUUAUUAAGGUUCUCUUCUUUAUCUUAUACCAUGUGUGCUUACAUGAGAUUCUCCUUGCAGGACAAUCACCAAACUCCUGGUGGAAAACUGCGGGGACCCCAAUCAGCAAGCAAAAGCCAUGGGCAGCCUUGAGAUUCAAUCUCAAAGUCAGAGGUACUUUCAGUUAUUGGUAAAUAGGUCAUGUUAUCGUCAUAGAAAGAUUGCUCAUUCUUCGCCCAGUUUUGCAUCUACUUCCAAAUUAUCCUGAGCCUCAGAAUAAAUUAUUUGAUGCCAUGGGAAAAUCUGAUAUUACUUCUUAAUGGCAAAAUUACUUCCAAUUUUGGUAAAUAGGCCAUGCUAUUUUCAUAGAAUGAUUUCUUAUCACCACCCCCUAGUGAUGUCGCCAUUUCCAAAUAAUCUUGAUUGUUCCAGAGGUAUUUUGUGCUGCCACCCCAAGCCCUACAUAAAGUAUUCAACCCUAUUAAAAGAGAAGGGGGGAACAUUCCAUGUACACAGCAUGUAUGCAACUUACAAAAGGGGUAGGCCAUGGGACACCCCAAUCAAUAUGAAAAAGGACUCUUAGAAAUAAAGGAAACCAAUUCUACACUUCUAGCCCACCAGAAAAUGACCACAUGAGAAAUGUCUUUCAAGUUAUGCACAUCCAAAAAUGCAUUUUGACCAUGAUGCAAAUAGAAGCAUGCAACUUCCAAAUUGCUGUCAUACAACCAAUCAACCAACCCACUUAUUUGCCAAGUUUCUAUUCAGCUGCCAUGGAAGAAUCCAUUAUCCCAGAAAGCAAAAAGAUCAAACUGCAUAUGUUUUAACUUUAGCUUUCAUAAGAGAAAUGUUUCAUUUGUUAAUGUCCUAUAUCAAGAUGCUGAGUCCAACUGAAAUUUUUUGCCGUAAUCUGUGGUACUAGGUAUCUUUGUUUUUUGCAGUCCAAGGGUUUCAUAGUGUUGCUAGUUCCAUGUGUUUAAGAGGUGUUCAAACAUUUUUAAACCAAGCAAUAGAUGCAUGGACUAGUGAUUUGGUCAUUUAUCUAAUUCUUAUGAGAACUUGAAUCAGCUUCAUUGUCAUGAAAUGCCCUGAUGUCCAUCAGCUCUAAAGACUUCAAUAAUGUAUUCAACUGAGUAAUUCUUGUUUCUCUUGAUCUAGAGCCACUUAAUGUCAUUUUUAUUUUAUUUGAAUUUCUGUUUCCAAAAAUACCAAUCCAGGAGCAGCAGCAUCCAACUCUUCUCCAGACAAUUCUGGUGUGUGGCUUAAUGAUCCUAUUAGGAUCUCUUAUAAAUCUCAUUAUGCAUCAGUUAGAAUACCGUUAUUAUGUGCUAAAUGUUUAUUUUAGGUAUGUUAGCUAAUGAUAGUAUAUGCCUUCCUACCUGCUUGCUAUUCCAUUGUUGUGCAGGGAUGAGAGACUGCAGGCAGUGGUGGAAACAAUAGGGAAUCAGGUCCCUGGAUGGAGUUCAUUGCGAUUGCAGCUGCUGCUGGAGGAGAAAUCUGGCAGUCUCAGUUAAUUUUCAUGGUUGAAUCGUUAGGGUAAUUUACAUUUUGUUAAAAAAAUUUAGGUACUUAUUUAUGACUAAAACUCUCGUCUCUUGGACUUUCUGAGUUUGUCUUUUCCAUUAGUAAGUGAAUGGUUGUGUGAUAGACUGUGAACUAGAUUGACAGGGCAUAUAUGGAUGUUUUUGAAAGCAGCAAUUUUCAACUGGUGAUGAUAAAACAGCUGGUAAUGUUAGGGGUAUUAUUAUUCAAGAUAUUUUGUUGACAUGAGGCAUCCAGAUCAAUGUUGUAACAAAGUGGUGGUGGGCACACUGACACCUCUUUUGAGUAUUAUUUUAUCAUUCAAGAGAUUGCGUUGUUAUGAGGCAUCCAGAUCUGUGAGUGGAGAAUUGUAUUUUCCAGAAUCUUUGAUGAUGAUGAUAGUUGUAGUGUGUUAGUGAUGGCAAUAUUGAUGCUCAUAGUUAUUUGACAAUGAGUCUGUAAUAUUGUCUAUUAAGAUAAUGCCGGUAAGUCAACUGAUACCUUAUGAUGGCCAUGAGUCAUGAGUCAUGACUACGUGAUAUGGGUCUUAGGGAUGGAUAUUGGGUCCAAUGUACUUCCACCCCAACAUUAUGUGUUAUGGGUCUUUGACCCAAUUUUUUACCAGAAGUUGUCUCAUAUUUCUGAAUAGGUAUUUGUAAAAACUUGGGCAUAGUCUCAACCAUUUAACAAAUUUAACAACUUUUUGAUGAGAUUUUCCCUACCAAGUUUGCUUUGGGAGGAGGAUGAACUUGAAAGUUGAAACCCCGCUCUUACCCUUCUCUCACCAUCUUCAUCGCAGGGCCUUUUAGCACGGUAUAAUUUGCGUACAAGUGCAGGCAGCGUCAGUUGCACAGCUUGAUUUUGGUUUCUGUUUUUAAGUGAUGAACCCCCUUUCUUUUUCUUUACGGUGGUGGGCCCUGAAAAUUAUAGGGUUUGCAUUAAUCCAAUGACCAUUUCACCCUAUACAUAUGACCACCAUGAGUGGGUACAGUUUCUAACCUAUAAGGGCAUUUUAGUCACAUAAGCAAAAUAAUCUACAAAAUCUGGUCUCACCCAAUCGCGGUGUACUAAAAUCCACGUGUCGUGGUUCGAUACUGAUACAAUAAAGAAGGUGAUGAGAUCCCACAAGAUGAAAGCGCGUGGAGGGUCAUCUCCCUCUCCCCCUCUCCCUUUGUGAGACAACACCAUGCCAUCAACCGCUGCAACAGCAUAUCAUUCAUCACCAUGCUUCUCUCUCCAGAGUCCAUCAUCCCUGCCUUCCAAUUCCCACCAGCCAAACAACCCAUUAACCAUAAAGCCGAAGAACGUCCUCCAGAAGCACCCACUCUAUACACCAGCCCAUUCAAACCUCUCUCUCCAGUUCAAAGAGAAAAUCCUGUGCCUUGAGAUAAUGGGUGUUGACUCUGGUAAGGCACUCUCUCUAAACCCUUCUCUCCACACUGCCACCCUCCAUUCCAUCCACUCCAUCAUCUCCUUCCUCCAAUCGAAAGGCAUUCACCAGAAGGACUUGGGCAGGAUCUUUGGCAUGUGCCCAAAACUCCUCACUUCUAACAUCAGAACUGACCUAAUCCCAGUUUUCAAUUUCCUCUCACAGGACCUGAAAGUGCCUGACCAAAGCUUCAGAAGGGUCAUUAACAAGUGUCCCAGACUCCUUGUUUCUAGUGUGAGGGACCAGCUUAAACCAGCUUUGAUUUUUCUUCAGAGACUUGGGUUUCAGGACCUGGAGGCAUUGGCUCACCAGGACCCUGUGUUGUUAGUUUCCAGUGUGGAGAAGACCUUGAUACCUAAGCUGGAGUAUUUGGUGAGCUUAGGAAUGUCAAGGGCUGAUGCAGUAGGCAUGGUUCUGAGGUGUCCGGGGCUGUUUACUUUCAGUGUUGAAAACAAUUUUAAGCCAAAGUUCGAAUAUUUUGUUGGGGAGAUGGAGGGGAAUUUGGAAGAGUUGAAGGAGUUCCCUCAGUAUUUUGCUUUUAGUUUGGAGAAGAGGAUAAAGCCUAGGCACAUGGAGGCUGUGCAGAAUGGGGUGAAAGUGCCUUUGGCAUUGAUGCUUAAAAGCACUGAUGAAGAGUUUAGGGAGUUGAUGACAAGGCAUGGGAGUGGAUGAGUCAGGUGGAUCUUAUCAUUUCUCUUAUGCGUGUUUCUUGUAAAUGUGGGCUGUCCAUUUUAUGAUGAUGCUAAAAUCAAGGCAUGUUGUCAUUAUGUUUGGGUUUUCCCUUCUUGGUGUGUGUUCUUUUGCAUAGGCUCCAUGAUGAGGGGCUCUUCAAUUACUGUCAUAUCUUGGUGGGCAUCAUAAUCAAGGCAAUGGGUGCUUUCUGAAAUUUUAUCCAUGAAAAAUGAUGAUCUCUAAGUCAACUUCUAAACAUCUUUAUCAUUACUUAAAACUUUUGUAUAGACCUGAAAGUAUUUGCCCAUUUCUUGUCUCUGAAGACUUCAAUCUGAUUCUCUAUCAGCAUAAUUUUAUCCAACAAUUUUCAUACAUAAUUAGGAGAAUUUGUACAUCAGAUCUUGUUGAAAAAAAUAUGUGAGACGAUAUAGCAUUUGUAUUGGUUAAUAUAGAAUAGGGUCUAUGCUUGUAUCUUCCUCAGCCAUAGAAUGUUAUAGAGACAGUUUUCAGAUUUUUGGCGCCAGAGAAAAUAAAGAUAGCAGUAAGAUCAGUGCCUACCAUAGCAAGUAUACAAUCACUUCCCUAACAAUUAUGCAACUGGUUCAUUUAUGAGUUUAAUUUCCCUUUUUGGAUGAGCUUUUCUUCAUAUAGAAAUUUGAGUUUUGACUUGUUCAAAUCCUGUUUUCUUCCAUCAAACUUCCUAGACCUUUUUUUCAUUGUUUCUAAUAUUUUUAUGCAUGGUAAUAAAUUCCUAAAAAUAUGACAAUAUAUCUCCACCAAUACCCAUACAAAUAUUUCCAACCAUCUGAAUCUCACAAAAACAUGUUUAUCAGCAUCUCCUUUUAUGUCUCCACUUUGAUCUUCAAACCCAUUCCAGUCACUAUGGCCACAACAAUUGCCUUAUCCUUGAUACAAAAAAGAUCCUAACUUUUCUAAUCAGUUCAACCCCAUUCAUUUAUUUUCUCCACCCUUUCAUUUUGUAAUCACACAAGUCAGCUCAGAUAGGGUGUCUGAAUUAAGAUCAGUUUGGUUCAGGUCUCCCAUUUUGGGUAUACCUGAAAUAAGUGCAGUUUGGUUUUAAGUCUCCCUCAACUACCUCUUCCCCUUGGAAGACACCCAAAAGCCGCUGGUGUUUCUAUGAAGCUUUUGUUUCAGUUAUAUUACAAUCAAUGUUCCUUGUUAGGCGAAGGGUUGCUCCUUAUUUGUGGCUAUCAACAACAUUAAUUCAUGUGUGUUUAUGGUAUCUUAUAUGAUUGUUUACAUCAACUAAAUUAGAAGAAAAGCAAAGGUAAAUGAAUAGCAAGGGAAGGAAAAGCAGCAUGCAUUCAAAGCCCUCAAGAGAAGAAAAGGAGAUGAAAAUUGGGAAAAAGCCAAGAUGGAAAAACUACAAUAUUUUGUUUUUUCUCCUUUUUCUUUGAAGCCUGCCAUAUUAUACAAAGUGAAAUACCAAAAGCAGUCAUGAUCAUCUCCUUCAUAAUUACGAUAAUUGACGGCAUCAUCAAUCAGCUUCACCAUCUUCAUUGCUGAUAAAGUUAUUGGCCAAUCCAAAACGAAGGAGAUCUAGAUGUCUGGUAAACCACAAGAAAAAUAUAAUACAAAUUUACUUGCUGAUUAUUGGCCUUGAAACCAAGUUCAUCGCCCACUAGCUGAAGAAGACAUCUUGGGAGAUGAAUGCAGCCCAUGCAUCCUAUAACAAGUCAAGUUGAUCAUAUGAGAAAGCAUCGCCCUUUCAAACAAUAAUCAAUACCAUCUGAAUUGAAAUCCUUGAUGUUUUUCUGUUUCCAAUUCCGUUCAGAAUUAAAUCUAUGUACUCAUUUCAUUUAUGAUAACCAAAAUUAAAUUUACCUGGAGGAUGGAAAAGGCUUUCUCUGCAACAUAUUUUUGUGGGGGUGUCACACCUCUUUGUUGCAGUUUAUCUGGGUGAAGACACAACCUCGCUUUCUGGUAAGCCUUCUUCACCUGUGAGGUCUCUAUCAGGCUUGUUAGGGGAAUGGCAUACCAGCCACUGUUAGGCCACAGAAUCUGAAUUCCACCCAACCAAACAGUUAUAUAUCAGUACUUUUAUAUGUGAUGCACUUAUCAGCCAAAUCUGAACAGAUGAGAAUUAAUAACACCAGUACCAAGUCAGAUAUCUUACAUGAUGUAGUGUUGAGAGCAGCAGGCGAAUGUUGGCUUCCUUGCCACUUGACCACAACCUUACAUCUUCAUCCAGUAGCUCUAUUUCCAUCUGUAAUUGCACACAUAGAAGAGCACUGAUAAAAAACCUGGUCCCUAUCUUAAUGAAAAAGAUGUUGCCAAAAUUCAGGUGCUUGUCAUGUUAGAGCCAUACGCUAUAUUCCUGGUGGCACUAAUCCUUGAGGUUCUCUAAAUUCCACAUUGUUCUAUUCCGGUCAUGGGUUAACUGCUGUAACAUGUGUAGCCCUAUAUAUAGCUGUCGGCUAAUUACUGAAUCACACUAUUCAUUUGAAUUUAGGUUCAACAAACUACAAGGGGCAGAGCUCCUUAAUCACCAAGCAAAGAUUUGGCAACACUCUUCUGAAUCCAAACAACUAUUGAACAUAGAAGAUAUAAUAUAAGAUAUAAGAGAUGACCACAGCACAUAAAGACCCAGAGGGGAUAGCACAUCUCUGUAAACAAGAACCAAAUAUUUGUUUAUAUUCAAUGAGACCAUAUAAUGUAAUAAAAAAAUAAAAAAAUCUGUACAAAGAUGGUACUCGGGUCUGUGCUUGUUUUUGAAACUUAGGUGUUUUUUAUUAGGGUUGCACAAUUUUUUUUUUUUUUUUUCAUAUAAUCAUGAAUGUUACUUAUGCAUUUACUAUCUUCUUAAAAGCUUAAAAGCUUACAUCUUUUUCCAUUUGUUGUUUGUCUUCUGUUGCCCAUUUAUCUUUCUGCAAAAGAGGUAAAAAAGGAAGGAAAUGUUAAUGCUUGGCAUCCCAUAUACUUCAAAUUUGCUAAGAAGACAGAUGUAUCUGAAUGGCAUGACAAUUACAAGAUUAGAGCCUUAAAUUACUUUCUUAACCUUAAAAUUUUAGAAAUCAUGGAGAGGUUAGAACAACAGAAACCAGGGUAGUGUCCAAACCUCAAAAUCUUUUGUUUCAAAAAUUUUGGAUGGAAUCAAUACAGGAAGACUAUAGUAGGGAAAGUGUUGUUUGGAUGAUGCUCGACAUGCAGCUGUCGAUACCAUUUUGGUUUCUAACAAUUUUGAAUUAUAUUGACACAAAGAAAAUGGCCUCCAAAGUUGCAUAAAUGGCUGUAAUAAGAUUCAUAUGCCUCUGGAAAAUAGUAUUUUACCACGGGAGACUGCAUCAUUCCAUGUUCAUCCAUCUGUGGAACUCUGAAUUCACGGGAGUUAGGCCUAUCUGCAGAAUUCAAAAUACAAGGAGAAAUUGUCAGUUAGGCUCUAUAAAACUGCUAAUUUGCUGAUUCCAAAUGUAACUAUUGUAAGCAAAUCCAUCACCUUCCAUCUCUACGAAGUGCUCGGUUUCCUGUGGUCUAAUGCUCCAUUCUUUCUCAGAACUAUGAGUCUGAAACUUCUCUUUGGCCCAAGCAAUUGCUUCAUCAAGGGCAUCUGCUUCAUCUGUGCCCUCCCUGCGGUCAGGGGUGAUCUCAAUAACAUAAGAGCUCAUAACUUCAUCAUCAUCUUCUUGUUCGGUUUCUUGUCCUUGCAACAACUCAUCGUCUGGAAUCCUGGGUUUGGCAUCUGGAGCUUGACAAACUGAAGACACGGCAGAUGAAGGGGAAUUGAGCUCAAGAUCAUCAAUGGACACUUUGAUGCUACCAUAAGAAUUGGGUUCGACACUGAUAGUUUCUGGGAAUGAGACCCGUUGGGAGAAUCCAAAAAUGGAGCUAGAAUCAUCAUCAUAUUCAGUUUUCAUGAAAUGGUUUUCAAUACAGGGGGAAGGAUUGCAUGGAAAAGCUGGCAUCCCUUGUUUCCUUGAAUAUUCCUCUGGCAUCAUCAUCGAUGAGCUCCAUCUAGAUGGGACAUUAAUUGGCCUGCAUCAAUCAAGAAAUUGAAAACCCAAAAAAUUAUUUGUGUCAUCAACAAAAUGCCUAUGAGAAAUCACACUUCCAUCUCCAUAGCACUCCUCCCAGCUGAGGAGUUCCACCCAUUUUAAACAAAUUGCAGGUAAAAGUGGCUUCCUGAGCUUCCAAAUUAACAGAACCAAAAACAUUAGCUGUUACUAUCACGCAACUCACCUGAGCUUUGAUGCGAAUGAAGACAAUGCCACGUCAUCUCCGAUCACCGGCCUCAGAGGACUCAACUCCUCCGAGCUCAACACCGACGAGGAGUUCGACUUCGACUUCGACUUCGAAUUCGGCUUCGACCUCGUCCUCGACCGCCGAUCAUCGUCCGAUCCAAAUAUAUCGCUGUAAAACCCUCCUCCCCCCUUUCGAUUCCCCGGAAUCCUGAACACCGGCAACACCCGGCCGCUUCUCGCCGGAGCUCCCAGGUCCGCCGGCCGGAAAAUCUCUUCGUAGAACGAAUUCGACUGGGCUCUCGCAGUGAAGUCGCCGGAGUAUUGGCGCGAUAACACGCUCCGAGGCGGCCCGCCGAAGACGUCGCUGAAGUCCUCGGGGUGCAUGGUUCUGGAUUCGCCGGAAAAGGUUUUCCGCGACCGCUGCGACGAGGUCUCCUCAGUUGAUUUUCUCCUUGGAAGAUUGUGCAUUCCCAUUCGCAUUCUCCAUGACUCGUCCAUAUUUCUCGGGCAGAUGACGCCGGAGAAUAGGGAACGUUGCCGGAAUAUGUAAAUGAAGUGGCGAGUUGUAUUACGUGUAUUAUAUACACACACACAAUGGUCUAAGAAAAGGCACUUUUUUGAAAAAAGGUUUAUUUUCUUUCUUUUACUUUACUCUCUCCCUUUUUUUUUCUUUUUUUUUUUUCUAAUUUUUGGAAAUUUUAUAUUAUUUUGAGUGGGUGAUGAUGAGUAGAAUGUAUGAUGGAAUGCUGAAUCAUCACGUUUGAGACACGCUUGCGAUCUCUACGCAUUUGAUUGGAUGGUGGGCCUACUCUUUCCUACCAAUUCUAUCAUUUUAUUAUUUAUUUAUUUUUCAUUUUAUAUAUAUAUACACACAUUUUAUAAACUGAAAAUAGAGAUUUUUGGAGGAAACUUGUUUUUUGAUAGAGCCAUUUGAUAAAUAUAUGAUUUUUGAAACUCAAUUUUAUGAAAUAUGAUAACUAGAUUUUAAUACGAAAAGUAAUAUUGUUUUCAUAAGCCGACUCCUUUUUUUUGUGCUAAGAUUGCUCUUUCAGUCUUCAUUACCAAUAAAAAAAAAAAAGUUACAAUGGUGGCAGCGACGAUGGACUAAUAUGGAGCUGCUAUGACCUUGGCACCUCCGGAUUUUUCUUUCACAACAGCAUCCAAGCUUCCAUGUCCGGAGAUGGGUUUAGCUUAAGUGGUGGUGGCGACGAUGGAUUGAGAUGCAACGACGAUGGACUAAGCUGCGACGACAAUGACCUUGACACCUCCAGAUUUUUCUUUUCCUUCAACUGCUACGACUAUUGUUAAGAUAUAGGUGGAUUAACGACGAAUAGGUAUUGAAGGAUUGGAAUUUGGUGUGGUGAAGACGGAGAUGGUUUUAGAGUUGGAAGUCGCAAGAACUGGAGAUGUGAAGAAGCUGCAACGGUGAUGGUGGGUUAUGGUUGCGAUUGAGGAGAAGCUGGUGGUUAGUAAUGGCGAUAGUGGCCGACGCUCACCUCGUGCGGCGAUCACUUGGUGGCUCUACUUCAACUCUCUUUUUUUCAGUGGAAAAACCCAGAAAACGAAGAAGAUAAUGAAGGAAGAGGGGAAAUCGAAAAGAUGAGCCGGGAAACCUCUUCAAAUUUUGAUCGGUGUUGACAUGAAGGCUUGGAUGCUGUUGCGGAAGAAAAAUCCGAAGGUGCCAAGGUCGCCGCAACUCCACAUCAAUCCAUCACCGCCGCCACCACUAUAACCUAUUUUUUUGAUUGGUAAUGAAGACCUAGAAGGGUAAUCUUGACACAAAAAAUGGAGUUGCCUUAGAGUGUAUGAAAGUAAUAUUACUUUCCAUAUUAAAAUCUGGUUCUCAUAUUUCAUAAAAUUGGGUUUCAAAACCAUAUAUUUAUCAAAUGGGCCCAUCAAAACACAAGUUUCCCAUUUUUAGAUUGAAGAAAUAAAGAAAUUAGGGAAUGAGAAGCAAAAUGUAGGAGUAGAAAUGAUUGGAGGGAGGAGUUGCAGUCAAAGUAUCAAGGAAGGAGACGGAGAGUGGGAACCACCAUCAAAGGUCUCAUGUCACAAGGAUUUGAAAACAACCCCCAUCUUAGUGUCACUUUGUAUUUCAACCCUUUCUUAGCAUUAUCAUUUUUUCAAAGUAGUUGUUUUCCUCAUACAUUAAUCACAUAAGCUUUCAAAAUUUAUCUUUUUUUUUCUUAACUUUUUUUUAUAUACAUUUUUAUCAAAAUUUAAAUAAUAAAUGAAACAAAAUUUCAACAUAAUACUAAUAACAUUGAAUUUAUAUAUUUUUAUAGAAAAAUAAAAAAGUAUAUGAUAUGAUUAUAAUUUAAUAUAUUUUAGAAAAAAAUUGCAAAGAGAAUAAAUAAAAUAAAUAUUAUUAUAUAGGAUAAUAUAAAUUAUAAAUAUUAUAAAAAUAUUAAAUCAUAUUUUAGUUAGACUCAAAUUAUUUGAAGCCAAUCCAAAUUAAGUUUAGAUUAAAAAGUUUAACCAAAGUUUAACGUGAAUAUUAAAAAUGAUCAUAUGAUCGGUUCAAAAGUUGAAUUUGAUCAAUCAAUCCCACCCUUAGAAUGAAGUCAAUCAAAUCAUACAAAGUGCCAAGAAAGCAUAUUUGAGCUUUCUUUCUAAUGGUUUUUCUAGCCCUUGCUUUACCUAGAAAAUUUUUAAUUAAAGUAUAGACUGCAAAAAAAAUUAAGGUCAUGUUUGCAUUUAGAAGUCGAGGAAAGAAAAUAAAAAGGAAAAAAAAAAAAUAGAUGUGGAAAAUUUAUAAAACCUUUUUACUUCUUGUUUGUAAUUUUUUUAAAAAAAAAAUAGAAUUAAAUAUUUGAAGAAUGUACAUUUCUAAACUUUUUUUCACAUUCUUUAAGGAAAAUAAUUUUUUUUAACAAUUUUUUUUCUUUACCAUGUUUUAUGAUAUUCAAAACAUAAGAAAAUAAUUAUUUUGUUUUAUUUUCUUAAUAUUUUCCAAGAAUCCAACCCUAAAAGAAAAGGUUAUUCAAUUUAAAUAUGUCUUUUAAAUUUAUUUGCUGUUGUACUAUUUUUUUUUCUUGUCAUUUAUGAUUCAAAUAUUAGAGAUUGAAACUACCAUUUGAUGUAUAGAAUAGACUAAAAUAGUAUAUGUAAAUCUUAAAAUUUCAUAUCUUACUAUAUAUUUUUUGUGAAAAAUGAUAUUCUUAAAUGUUAUAUUAAGUGGAAUGUAUUUAUGUUAUAAAUUUGUAAAAAAAUUAAAAAGUAGUUUGAAAAAAAAAUGUUACAUUUCAAUAUCUAAUAUUUGUUUAAAAUAAAUUUUUUAUUACAUCACAAUAUAUACCAUUUAAAAAAAUGUGAAAUCUCUCUCAUGUUUAUUAUAAUUUAGAAAUUGUUUUAUAAUUUAUAAUUUAAUAAAUAAUUUUUAUUUCUUUGUUAAAGAUACUUACAAUUAAAAUAUUUAAAAUUUAUGUCAUAUUGUUGAAUAUAUAAAUAAUUUGUAUAUACUAAAUAUUAUUUAAUAAUAAUACUACUAGUAUUAUGUUAUGAUAUAUUUUAUACAUUUUUUAGUUUUAUUUUAACUAUAAAUUUAAUUUCUUUUUUUAAAAAAAAAAAUUGUUCUUCAAAAUGUGUAAUAUAUAUGUUAAAUUUAAGAUAAAAUUAAAAUUUUUGAUUUUUUAUAUAUAUUUAUAUAAAAUAUUUAUAAAUAAGAGUUAACCACAAAUGAUUAAACAAACAAACAAAUAAAAGGAUUGAUUUCAAGUAUUUGAUUUUGACAAAAAAAGAAAAAAGAAAAAAGAAAACAUAAAGAAAAAAAAAAUGAAUGGCAUGUUUGGAAACCAUUUUUUAGAAUAAUUUUAUGUUCUUUUGAACAAAAAACACAUUUGAAAAUUAAAAAAUGUUUUAUGUUUUCUAUUUUUUUAGUUGUUUUUUGAGGAUUAUUUUAAGAAAUAAAUAUAAAAACAUUAAUAAUAAUUAAAAAUAAAACACUAAAUAUAGAAAUCAUUUUUAUAACACAUUUAAAAAUAUUAAAAAUCGAUUAAAAACAUUUUAAGUACAUACGUUUAUUUUAUAAAAAUUAAAAAAUAAUUUUAAAAAACAGUUUCCAAGUGGAAUACUUCCCCAUGGAGUGACAUUGAGGAGCCUUCCUUGCGCCACUUUAAAAGAAAAGGCAAAGGCAAAUUGAAGUUUCAUGGCAUUCAACUUCUGAAAAGAGUCUCACACAUCACAAAGAAAAAGUGGUCAUGUCUCAUGUCUCAUGACUCAUGACUCAUGACUCAUGACCUUUAUCUUUAUUCACUCAACAAAGCAGAUCUCAUCCGGAUUCAAAUCCCUUUCCUUCUUCAUACUUCAUAUAUGAUAUAUAUAUUCCCAUUGGAUAACACAUCAAAUUUCUUGUUUUAGCUUUUUAACCACCCACUAUUCCACCUUGCAUUUUAAUAAUUAAUCAAAUAAUCACCCCUUUAUAAUCUUAUCAUCUAUCUUAUGAUUCUUAUCUCCACAGACCAUCACUAAAAUUUAGGCUUACCCUAUCUCCAUGGUAAUAAUAAGUGCCCAACUUCAACAAUAUGCCUAUGAGGAACUGACUUGUAUUUGGACAUAUGCAUAUAUUUAAUUAUUUAUAUUUUAAAAUUAUUAUAUAUAUAAAAAAAAAAACAAAGAAUGGAUUAAAUACAUGCCGACUUUAGAAAAGUGGGGACUAAACAAACACACAACCCCCCCUCCUUCCCCCACAGCCCAACACCCUGAAAGUGGGGACUAAACCAAAUCCACCCCCCACCCAACCACCCACACUUUGGACCAACCAAAUGGUAAUGGUGAAAUGUAACCUGGAAUUGGAACAUGAUAAGCUAGCUAGCUAGCCUUCUCUUUUAACCAAAAACUAAUGUCACAUUAUAUAUACUUAACAUCUCUCUCUGUCUCUCUAUAUAUACCAGUGUGUUUAGUAAACCUUACUUGAUUGGGUAUCUUAUGCUUUUGCUUUCCAUGUUUUUUGCUCGUGCGGCUUUCUUUGCCUAGUGCCUUCCACUGUAUGUAACAUGCACUUGCAUGUUUGGGUGUCCCUUACCUAUAUAUAUAUAUAUGUGUGUGUGUGUGUGUGUAUCUCUUGCUCUUAUUCAUCACGUUUUUGCCUCUGCUGUUGUCUUCUCUUUGGCUUUAAGUUGGCUGCAGAUUGUCACAGUUUCUUUUUAUCAUCGUGUCUUAAUUAAGCUUAGCAUCAAUAAGAAACACUGGAAUGAAGGUUAGUUAUAAAAAUGGAUGAAUGGAUGUAGCAUAAGGAGGUUUUAGUAAUAAUACAAGGCAAUCUGCCUCAAUAAUUGCUUCUGCUACUUGUGGAAAUAGAUGGAACGGUUGGAAGUGUAAGUUAGCUGUAAUUAGAUAAAGGUGUUAAAGGGGCAAGCGAGGGAAAGGAUGGUUGAUACCUCAAAAGCAGACAAUGCAUGCUGUGAGUUGAUUGACACCAAACUUUAAAGCCUCACACCCUUACCCACUCUACUUUCAACACGCCAUACUUUCCUCCAAAAAUACCGGUUAUUAUCAACCUUUCAGGCAAAGUUCAUCAGGGUUUUGCUUUUUAAUUUAGGUCGACGAGAUCCUCUCUCUCUCUCUCACGCACGCACACAGACACACACACACACAAUGGCUCCAAUAAAAUAUACUUCAUAACCCAAUUCCUACUCAAUUACCAACUAUUUUGGUCUGCAAUUUGUUCUGUCAGGUGGUCCAAAUAGAACCCUAGGACAGGGUGUGCUGACCAUGCACUUCAGCUGCUAACUACUACUACUGCUCAAUGUGGGGGGGAAGGGGGACAUUUUCAUUAAAAAAAUAAAACCCUAUGUGUAUAUAUACAUAAAAUAGAAAAAGACAAAUCAAUCCUUUUGUUAACGUUUAGAUGGGCCUUCUAAAAUGCAUUUUUUAAUUGAGGGUGCAUUGGGAAAAAUUUGUGACUUGAGCUUAAUUCACUUGUUUAUAUAUAGAGUUCACUUCAGUUUGUUCUUAACCUUAGCUAAAUGACUAAAAAGUUCAAGCCAUAUACUUGCUAAUUGCUUGAUGUUGGAAAUUGUGGCCAAAAAAUUCUCUUUCUAUCUCAUGGUGAAUUUAUUAGAAACCUCAUAAUUUUUAUUACGGCGCACCGCAUAUGUAUACACAUUGAUACCUAAUUGUGUGUCGACCACACACCAUGUGCCAUCCUUUUAGACAACCAAAAGAAGUUUCUAUGGUCGAGCCCCUCAAAUUCUCUGUGAGACUUAAACCUUGGGGUCUUAACUGACCUUAUAUAAUUUUUCUUUUUUGGAAUAACCAAAUAAGCUUUCAUGGUUGAACCCUUUAAACUCUGUAUGGGAUACAAACAUCAGGGUGUUAAUCAUGCUCUAUUACAACCAACGUUGGGUAAUCCAAGAUAUGCAACUAGUAGUAACAAGAAUGAACCCGACAUUCAAUCAAUAAUAGGAUUCAAAUCCGUGACUGUGUGUCUCUAUCACAUAUCUUGGCAUUUGUCCAAAUCAAGUGGACACCCGGGCUUCUUUUGGCAUAUAACUUUGAUGACCCCUAAGUUCACUUUCAACUUAGGAGCCCACUCCACGAGUCUUUCUAACAAAAUACCACAUGUCAUCACCCAAAUUUCCUCGUAGCUCUAAUAACAAUAUGCGGUGUUGGGAUCUAUAAUUUUUCUCUUGUCACAACUCACAAGCACUCCACCCUGUAGGAAAAUGGUGUAGGGCUCCUAGAACGUACCAACGGAUGUGAAUGCCCACCCAAAACGGUCGGUAAGCGUGGAUCUCUCUGCUCCGUUCUUAGUCGAAGCAAUAGCUUGAGUUAUUUUCACGUGAAAAGCUUAGACAAACUUGGUCCCUUCUCUUUGUUGUUGUUUUCUUGGCAUGGCCCCCAUUAGUAGCUGACGUAACUAGAGAAUUCUUCUCACAACAUCUCAAAAGUUUUAUAGAGGGGGGAGAUUGGGGAAUCUCUCUCCUUUUCUCUGCAUGGGCCCCCAAUGGGAGCCAAGCUAGGAGCGGGGCCCUCAUACCUGCCUACCUGCUUGUUGCUCUAACGCUCUAGAAGGUGAUCUAGAUGAGGGGCAUGUACGUACACUCAUCCCUUGUUACCCGGCUGCCUUCAAUGGAUGUAUCUAUGAGUGAGUAUAAGGAUGGAGAUUAUUCCUCCAUGGACAUCAUGGACCGGUCUGUCUCUUCAGUCUUUUAUGCCUCCUCAAUGGUUUUGAUGGCAUGACACUUGUCUAUUUGGCGGUUGACAAUAAGGUGAAUAGACUAAAUAUUAGGUCCGGGUGCAGGUUUUGAUCCUCUCACAUCACCGUCAAGUAUAUAAAUCGUUUGAAAGUGCUGGUUCACUGUCAGGAACUCAACAAAACAAGUAGAACUUGGACGUGUAGGAAACCUACCUUGGUCCAUUCUCCACUUAGUUGCAGAUGUCACGAUGGUGACUACUAGUGUGUAGUUGGUUCAUCUCAUGGACCCAUCAUGAAUUGCCAUCUUAGGCUUUUCUAAUUAACCUAGCCUAAAUUUAAGGUGGUUUGGAACCCCCUUCUUUCUUUAUCUCUCAACCACAAACCCUAGUUACACAUCUUACUUAAAAGUUUAUUUGAUAUAGAAGAUUAUUUUAACUUUGUUUAUAGAUAAUUUCAAUUUUUAUUUUGUUUGAAUCUAUAUAACAUAGAACAUGAAAAUCUUUUAGAGGUUAUUCAUAUAUAAUAUUUUAUAGAAAGUUUGUUGUAAAAAUGAUUGAAUUAAUUCCCAAUCUAAUAGGAUUGUAUAUAUGGAUACAGUUUUAAAUUUUCCUUUUUACUUGAGAUAAAUUAAAAUGUCUUCGUAAAGUUUUAAAAAUCUAAAAAUAUAUUUGAAAUUAUUAUUAAACUAAUACCAAAUAAACACUUAAAAAAAUCACUUACAUAUUACCAAAAAUAUUCUCUUGAUUUACAUUCAAAUCAUUCUUCAUAAAUGCAGUCUUUAUGUAAGCAUUGUGGUAUAUGCCAAAAAUGUAAGUCCACCCAAACAUUAAACCUAAAAUGUAACAUAUAUUCAUGUUAUUUGCACUAUAAGCUAUAUUUGCUUAUAGUGUGUCUCAAUCACUCUAUAGUUUUAUUUUUGGAGAAUAUUUUCAUGGGGAUGGGCUUCAAUCUCAAAUAGACAAACAUAACAGAACAAGCCGAUGCCAAGUGCUCUUCUCAAUCCAAAAACAAAAACCACUUCAUCAUGGAAAAAUAAUUCGCAGCCUUUUGUCUUAUAAUAGAGAUAUUAUUUUAAAAUAUCCUCAAUGGUUGGACAAUCAUUUCUUUUUCAUUUCCCUCCCUACCCACAAUAUAAUAAUAAUAAUAAUAAUAAUAAUAAUAAUAAUAAUAACUAAAAAAAAGUCUUCUAAGAAAUAUCUUAUUUAUUGAAUUAGGGUUUAUUUGAAAAUUAUUUUUUAAAAUAGUUCUUUGAUUUUUUUUAAAAUAAAAAAAUAAAAGUUUGUUUAGAAACCUAAAAUAUUUUUAACUUGUUUUAAUAUUUUUAAAAUAUGUUUUAAAAAUAAUUUUUAUAUUUAGUAUUUUAUUUUUAAUUAUUCUACAUAUAUGUAUAAUUAUUUUUUAAAAUAACUUUUAGAAAACAAAUGAAAACAAUAUAAAACAAUUAAAAGAUGUUAUUUGAAAACAUCAUAUUUUCUGUUAUUAAAAAAAACAGUUUUUGGUUGUCAAAGGGGUUUCUGUAUUUUUGUUAUGAACAACAAUUUUUUUUUUCCUUCUAAAAACAGUUCUCAAAUAGACCCUUAAUAUCCUUAUUAAGGUAUUAAUUGAUAUUCCGAGAAAGAAAAUAAAUUAUCAACUUGUUUUAACUUUUCACUUCCUUACUACAAUUUUUCCAUUUUUAUAUUAUCAAAAUUUGUCCCAUUGAACCGAUUAUCCCAACUUCUCGGUUAACUUGUUUUCGAAUAUUGCUAUUAAGCAACAUCUAAGUAAACUUUAUAUAUCACAAGGGUUAAUUUCAGUUUUACCUCUUGAAAUUUAGAAUAAAUACAUUAAACUACUAUUAAUUUCAAAUUUCAUCAUAUCGCACCGCUAUAUAUGUAUCAUAUCAAUAAAUUUUAUUAUAAUUUAGAGACUCGUUAAACAUACAUACCUAAAAUUUCUAUGAAACAUAAAUUUUAUAAAAGAAAUACAUUAAUAAAUAUGCUAAUUAAUGAAAUUUGAAAUCAACGACCAUUAAAUAUAUUUACAAUUUACACUAAAUUUGAGGGUGAAUGAAAUUUAUCCUUAUGUUAAAAAUAUUGGUCAAGAUGAGGUGCCCAACAUGGAUUCAAAGUAUUAAAAACCAUCCUCUUAGCAUCUGUUCAAGGUCAAAUUAUGCAGCUCAAAGCUCUUAAAACACCAAAAUGAUUCAUGCAUUAUAUGAAGAGUUAUUGUUUUGGCAAAUCACAAAAAACCAGAUCAAUAAAUCUUGGGGAAAACAUCAAGUCAAAAUGUUGAAAAGAAGAUGAAGAAGAGGAGAGCUGGUUUUGUCACACAAGUCCAAGCAUUAACAACCCAAGGGAAGAGAAAAAGGGCAGUCUUACUCAGAUGGUGAAGGCACCAACCAAGUGGCAAUAUGCACUCCAAAUUCAUGAAUUUGCACACAAGACAUUCAUUGCAAGACAAGUGACUACAUGCCAAAAUCUGCUUCACUGGUUGUCUUCUACAACAUUCUCUUGAAAAAAAGAUCUCUAAAACUUUACCAUGUAAUACCAAAUGAUUUUAUUAGAAAAAUGAAAACAUAGAAUAAUGUUCAAAAACAGGCUUAUUCUGGUCUAAGCCAUUCUUAAUAGCUUGAAAAAUGGACCAAAACAAAGCAAAACAAAACAAAACAAAAAAGGUCAAGUAGAAAAUUCUGCUAUAGUAUUACUUAUAACUCCCACAUAUUUGUUACUUACGGCAUUGAGACUUCAACCAAGUCUUUUGCCCCUUUUAGGCAUGAUCACAUGGAGCUAAUUUGCCAAAACAUAAGUGAAUUAGGAGGAACAUGUGGAUGACAAGUGACAACCCAACAUCCUCACCCUAUUGCUGUGAGGUCAAUAGGCUAUUCUAAGGGGAAAAAAAGUGCUAAGAAUAUGAUUUUUCUUAUAAUUUAAUUUUACUAUAAAAACAAGAAAAAAUUAAUCUUUAUAUAAAAAUUAAAAUAAAUAAAAUAAAUUUGAAAUUACAUAUAAAAAUAAUUUAUUUACUUCUAAUUUAUUUUUUAUUUGUUUUUCACUUCUCUUUCUUUCCAUUUUUUUCACUUUUUUUUUUUUUCUCUCUCACAUUUUCCCUCAAAUUUUCCAAAACCGAGCAUAGCCUAAAACUUCAAAUCAGAUUAGAAAGGUCAAAGAUAGUUUAGUAGUUAAUAAUUAUGGAGAUUUCAUCUCCAUGGAGUGCCAAAAGGGUUACCAAAAGUGAAGUGGUUGAUCCACAAGUUUCAUUCAUGGAUUGUGAAGUGACAGAAUCAAAUCUUUUUAAGGGGUCUGCUCCAUACUGACUUUAGUCUCAAACAGCAAGAAAAGUAAUUACAACCCAGAAAGUACAUACAAUAUAUAUGAAUGAUAGUAAUGAGAGAAGCAUGAAAAAAAUCCAUAGAAUAUGAAUAAAAAAAUAGGGGUAUAUUUAGUACAGGCAAGCAUGAUGGAUACUGAAGAAGAAACAGUGGCAUCUUUAGCAGAGGAUGGGUCGGCCAUGAAGCAGACAUGUUAGAAGGUUCCAUAUGGUGUCUUUCAACAUAAGACCCUUUUUUUUUUAUCUCCUCAAUGCAAAAGCAAAAGCAUAGUCAUAACCCCACCAUUGCUUUGCUCUCCUUCUUUUCCUUUUUCUCUUUUCUUUUUUUACAAGAUUUUGUUGUUGCCCUUCAUGAGUAGUUAACAACAAAGCAUCCUUUGUUUUCACAAUUUCACUUGCUUCAACUAUAAUGCAUGCCCAGCUAGACUCUGAGAGAGAGAGAGAGAGAGAGAGAGAGAGAGAGAGAGAAAUGUGUCCUGAACCUCAAGAUCAAAUCCAUCUCCAUCUCGGCAAAGCUUUGUCUGCCAGUAGCACUGCUGACUCUCUGUCAAGAAGCUUGCUAAUGACUUUUAACGAUCAAGAGUUCCGGUCCCAUUUCCAAUUAUGGCCUCAAAUAAUGUCAAAAAUAUCAACAUCAACUUCUACCACAAGAUUCUCAAGCCCCUGCACCAAUCUAGCAGAACUCUUUUCCUCCAAAGCAAUCCCCAACCUCCAUGCUCCCACACUUGUUUGCUAGUCAAACCUUGAAAAUGUAAGGUUUAAAACCUACUAUCCUACUGUGGAAGCCUUGAAUUCUCUCCAACAGCAAACCCAGUUCAAUUUGCAUCACUUGAUGCUUGGCAUAGCAAAAGCCAAGAGGGUGCUCAAGGUAUAUCCAAGUUGUAAAGAUAGGGAUGGUAUCUAAAUUUUAUGCCUGCAUCAUGUCUGAGACUUUCCAGGUGUAAAGCAUGAAAAUGGUGUUUAAAUUUUCUGUACACUGCAUUUGAGACGUGAUUGAGUAUAAAAAUUGUACCACUCUCUUAUGUGGUAGUCAACUCAAUUACAGAGCAUCCGUUCCUUGUGUUCACCAAAUUACAGAGAUUACCAACAAUCAUAUCUGCAUGAAGCCAAAAAGAAAAAGGUCAAUUAGUACCUGCAACACUGAAGCAAAAGGCAUCUUAAAACUAUCAAUGGCUUCAAAGAUCAGUUUACAAUUUUCCGGUGCAGUUUUGAGUUUAUUAUCUAAGUAAUAUGAAUACAUUGACAAAUAACAAACAAAAUAGGGAUCAGAACAAACACUAGAGGUUUAAGAGAUGGAGACUCAAUUAGGAGUAUCACUCGAGAAAUAUGCUACCCACAAAUAAUUAAAUUAAUGGAUAGAAGUUAGCAGGACCUACAUGGGCUGCUGCAGCAUGUGCUAAUUUAAUGUUGGUCAUAUAAAUUUUAAAAUCUUGUAAGCAAAAGUGUGUGGAGGGUUAUAAUGAUGUUGGAUGUGUCAAUUUAAUGUUUAAAUUAAGCACGUCACCAUGCAGGGAUGUGGUUUGAUAUUUGCACCUUUCUUACUGGUAACUACACAAUUAAUACAUUGUGGUAAUUUUCUUUUCUAUACCCUCAGAUAUCUUGAGCAAAAUAGUCUUUGUGAAACUAUAAGAAAAAUACAGUUAAAAACAAAAUUUUGAGGCUGAAAACAUGUAAUUGCUUUUCUUAACAGAUUAGAACAAACUUAGAAGAAUCCAAAUUAGAGGCUUCACCAACAUGAUUGAAACUUUUUUAAUGUUUAUAGAUCCAUCUCUCCAAGUUCACCUGUUUACCAAACUAUGGUAAACAUACUUCUCCUAUAUUGAUCAUUGCAACACUUUACCAGAAAAGAUUAAAAGGUUCAGUCAUAACAAGGGGCGAUAUGAAAUACAGCAACAAGGACAAACAAGAAGUGGAAAAUGUGAAAUGAGUUUAGACAAAUUUGCAGCUUCUUUUGUCUAAUUGGCAGUUUUGAAAAGCUUCUAUAAAACGUGAGGAAAAAUACAAGAAAAGACAAUAUAACAAGGGUAAACACAAUAAGUAAUUGGUAGGCUCCAAAGAAGGAUGUAGAACCCCAAAUAAAAUGAUCACAAAAAAAACGUGAUAGACAAAUGGGAGAAGAUACUAAUUGUUUCUGAUCUUUCAGAUUUCCAAGUUCAAUGCCCAGAUCUGUUCACCUAUAGAUCCCACUGAAAGCCCAAGAAAAAUCUGAUAUGGCCCUUUUUUUUUGUUAUGGUUUUAGAAGAUAUUUGCAUUCAGGCAAACAACAGUGAUCUAUCUCAAAAUAUCUAUUCUGGGCAUGCAUGAGAUGAAAAAUAAUGCAAAAUUUCAGUAGAUACACACACAAAAAGAAAGAAAGAUAUUACAGCAAGGAUAUGAUGGAAAUGCAAUUGUUGAAAUCAAACAUACGAAGCAUGCAUUAUUCACUACUGAAUUAGUAUGGCACUAAAGUUCCACACUACAAUGCAUAAACAAUUGGAUUACUUGAGCGAAUAUUUCAGUUUCCCCCAUUCUCAGAGAAAAAAGAAAGAAGAAAUAAAGAAAGAAAUAUAUGAGAUUAUACCAGUAAAAUGAAAGUUUUGAAGCAUCGUGCUAAUAAGAGGGUAAAUGUUCUCAAUCCUUGGAGCAUGCAUACCACAAAAUUCUCCAAAUCCUCUCUCAUUCAAUUCAAUCAUAUCUGCAGUGCACAAAAGCUACAUAGCAUUGCCCAUAUCUCACGAGAAAGCACCCAGCAUUGCAAAUAAGUUAAACAGAGUUGCCCAUAUCUGAAGCACCACCCAAAAAUACUGUCGAGGAAAAAGGGUUUCUCACCAAUGAUAUUCAUGAAGAAGUAGAACUGUUUAUUUCUUUGAUGCUAAUUGAUCAUUUAGUUGUUAGGGCUUAAAAGUUUAUGCUUGGGUGAGAUUGAACUCAUGAUAGUAAUCAGGCACUGUAGAUUAAAAGUAUAAUACAAUUAGGUUCCCAUGGAAAAGGCCUUAACUGAGGUACAACCAAGCAAAUUGAUGACCAGUACAGAGACUAGAGAUUACUCUGUUGUAAAUAGGGUGAGCAGAUGUAGCCCUGCAAGCUUUCUUAUAUUCUUUCAGCACCUUCCUAGAGUUGGGCCAUCAAACAGUUAUAUUAAAGGUUCAAAGUACUGAGUUUGAUACGACUUGCCAAGUUGUAUUCUGAAUGGCCAUUCCCCAGACAAUGUUUGGGAUCCAUUACAGAUUUUCUGAUUCUAGCAAAAAAAAAAAUUGGCUGGUAUAGUAAUGCCAAGGUCGAUACAGCUAAGUCAUAGCUGAGUCAUACUCAAUAUGGCUGAGUUGCACAAUGGUGUUGAACCUUUGAUUUUCUGAUAGGAAUGGUGUUGGACCUAUACAAGCUCUAAAACCAUAUUUUGUUCACACUGGAUUGUUAAGUCACUAAUCUCCACCAACAAAGUCAAGCUUUGGAUAACUUUUCUAACCAUAUCCUAUCCAUGAGAAUUUCCACUGCAAUUUCUAUACUGUCAUAGAACCAGCAGUGAUGAGUAUAAACCCUCUGAGCCAUUCCAACAUUCAAUAUGAAUUGCCUAUGAAAUUAUGUGGUGUUUAGUAAUAAAAAAAAUUGCACCUCAAAUAGUAGAAAAGAAAAUUACAAUUCAAAGGUUUGAUUUUGUUUUUAGCACUUCAUUUCAUCAGCAACCAAAUGGAGGAUUAGGAAAACAAGUAACAUUAAAAACUUCAUGACAAAAAUAACACAGCUAACUGGCAUGAGCAGUGCAGCUCUUUAUGUCAGUUGUGAUCCCAACCAAAAAAAAAGAAAGAAGCAUCAUUAUUGAUGAGACACCUACAUUUUCUAUGAUAGGGUCGAUGAGACACCUACAUGUGAAUACAUAUAUCUUCUUUUUUAAAUUUUUAAAUAAAAAAAGAAACUUAAGAGAGGACGACCCAAUCCUGCCAAAAAGGUUGGCAAAGGAUAAGAAGAUAUAGAAAUCACAGAAUAAUUUGCCAAUCUAAGGUCCUGAAUUCCAAGAGAUAGACAUCAAUGAUCUUUUGUCAUCUAGUAUAAGAUAAGCACCAAAAAGGCUGCCAGUUUGGCUUUCUUUCUAUUCUCUGUUUGGUUGUCAAGAAAUUAAAAGAAAAUCAAAUAGAAUCAAGCAAAAUUUAAAUUUAUUUGUAAAAUUGUUUUGGUUUCCAAGACAUUGAAAUGUCCACUUCAGAGAUUCAAAUAGUUGUAUUAGGAUCAAUUUAGUGGAGGUCUUUGAUCUUCAGUUUCCAAUUAAAAAGAAAUCUAAGAUUCGAUUUGUUAAUGUCUUUUCUUUCCGUACAUUUCAGCAACCAAAUGGAAUUUUGCAAACAUGAAUUUUAGAAGAAUAGAAAUGCAUCAUAGUACCAAACAAAAACUUAUUGAUAACAAUGGAAAGGACAUGUAGAUAAGAAGUAAGUACCAUGCCAUCAACAGUAAAUAAUACAAGAGAAAUGUGCAACUAUGCAAAAAGCUCUAUGACUUUCUACACUGACAAAAUAAAAUGAAAAAUUAACAUGAAUUUAUCAUAAAUGCAACUCCAAGAAGUUCCUAAAAUGUAGUUAGGGUGGGGAGUUUAAUUCCAGUAUGUCAAAUUCAUCUACAGUCUACUAAUUGAGAGACAUAAAGAUUUCAAUAUGACAAUAAAUCAUAUAGAUGAAAUGCCUGAAGCAAUAAUGAUCAAACACUAAAGAAAUAUUUCAGUUAAACAAUCAAGAGUGAUCCCUCUAAAAAUAUUAAUCAUCUAACUGCAAUGAUUAACCAGACAAAUAUUCACAACAACAGAGAGAUAGCAAAUGCAACCAAUAAAAUAUAAGAUUGAAGGAAAAAAGGAAGCAGAAAAACUAAGAAGCAACAGACUGAUCAUGAAAAUGAUCAGAGAUCUAAUGGAAUCUUUGUUAAUAAAUAUUGAUAUUUGAAAUUCCUGAGAAGAGAAAAAAGAAGUACAAAAGGAGGAGGAGAGGGUUGAGGAAGGAUUUUGUAUCAGGAAUUGUUGGGUGGAAGCGACCUGUGCAUGCAAGGCACAAAGUAGGGACCUACAAUGAUCAGAAAUUCGGAAAAUACUAUGCAAUGCUGAAAGUAUUCUUAAAUCAAGAGAUUGGUUAACAACUAAGCAUUUCAAACCGGCCCAUUAGAUCCUGAGCACUCCACAAACUUUCUUUCAAAAACCUAGUUAUUUUUUAGUUCUCUGAAAACUCCAUCUCUUAACAUUUUCUAUAAAAAUAUAUAAAUCCCAAGUGUGAUUCUCCAACAAGUCUCAAUUAAUUCCCAUACCUCCAAAAACAUAUUACAGCAAACAAGACUACAGCUCAGCAUUCCCAGAUCACAUCCAUCAGCAUCUCAAGAAAAUUGACAUGUUGUCCCUGUCAGAUCAACCCAUUCACAUACCAAGUAAGCUCAACAUGAAAACAACCUCAACAGUGAACAAAUAAGUGCAGGCCAACUAUUGGAAUACAGAGUAGCAGAAAAAUUAAUAGAGCACUGUAAACAGUCUCCAAAAAAUUAAGCUAAUUAUAUCAUUCAUAGAAGUCAACCACAGCAAAUAAGUUCCAAACAAAUUUUAAAUCAAAUAAUGAUUGUACUAAUGACAAUAAUCAAUUUCUAUCAUAAUAAUCAUAUAUAUUUGUUAACUUAAUGCUUAAUCUAGAUUCCAAGUAGCCCUUGUCCUAAUUCCUUACCUGAAAAAUCACUACUUGAAAUUGUUUAAAUAAAAGUAACUUUUAUGAAUGGUAUAUUAGUUUAUUUAUUUCAGGAUUAUUUAAUAUGCUCCAUUAACCUUUCCGCUACACCAUAUUCUAGUAGUCAACAUAGUUAUUUGCUAUUGAGGGAAUUUUUAUGUCAAGCUCGUUUGAUAUGUGAAAUGUCCGACUAUGCCCUUAAUUGUCCGGUUGAUCCAAGUAUCCCACCAUUUUUCCUUAAUGGUAUAUUAGAUAAUAAUAAUAAAGGUACAAAAAAGACAACUAAGUGACUGAGAUUCUUUUUACCUUUCUUUAAUUCCUAAACCAUAUAAAUGCCUAGUUUGGAUGAUUGAUCAAGGACAUGGAACUAUACUACACAAGAAGGUAAAUUUGACAAGAGGGAAGUGGAUAGCCUGAAAGACUAACAAGCAUUUUAGAGAUAAAUUUUUUAUAUCAUAUCUAAUAUACUUGCAAUAAGACCUUCACUCCAUGGAUGUCAUAAAAAUUAAGGUUCUGUUUGGGAAGUGUUUUUGAAAACAAUUCUAAAAAAUAGUUUUUGAGAACUGUUUUUGAUAAUCAUUCUUUGAUGUUUUGUAAAACAAAAGUAUGUUUGAGAACUUGAUAUGUUUUUUCUUUAAAAUAACUUUUAACUGCAAUGCUUUAUUUUCAAUCGUUCUUCAAACUGUUUUUUAAUUGUCAAACAUGUUUUUCUAUUUUUUUGUUCUUAAAAACAAAAACAAAAAAAAACUGUUUUUGGAAAUAACCUCUGAACAUAGUAUAAAACUCUUGAUUGUAAAUUCAAUCUAACAGUUAACUAAUGUUUUUUAUGCUUUACUUGUUGCUAGGAUUCUGUGCUCUUCCCCUCCAUGACUAUUAAUUAUCAGUAACAUCUUAUAGAUAUGAAAAACUAUGAAUAAGUUCACAAACUACUGGAUCAUAGCUCCAAUUAAUAUCCAAAUAAAUUUUAUACUCCCUGUAUACCUAGAGGGCACUAGUUUGGUGUUUCCUCUUUCUGUUUUUUAUAAUUCUCUUUAUCUAUAAAAAAAAAAAAUUAAUAUCCAAAUAAGUAAAUAAACAAAAACGUCAAACUCAACUUCAGGGACAUGGUAAGAAAUUAUGCCUUUUAGGACCAUAAGAUCACAAGAGAGUGAAGGGAGUUAAUUGGAAGGGGCCCUAAGUUGUUAUAUAGCAUUGUCAAGCAUCACCAUAAUCAGUAAAGAACAGAAAUGAGCUCUCUAAUUGGGAUCCAAAUGCCUUUUUCAAACAAGUUUAAGAAAAACAAGUAGACUUGUUUAAACGCUACCUAAGGUCCUAAACACGAUGAUCCCAUUUCAGAUCCAAAACAAAAUAAAGUCAACUCAUCCAAUUUCCAUGGGACAUCCAAAUGGCCCUUAAUAAUUAAAGCAAAUAUAGCAAUAAGAGGAAUCUCCACAAACGUAAAAGCAUGUAAAGGAAGGACAUGAAAGAAAAAAUGAAAAGGAAAAACAUGGUUGGUCAAUGACAUAAGAAACUAAAUCAAUAAAAUAAAUAAGAAGACAAACAAAAACCUUGAGUGGUUGAUAGUUGUAGUUGGGCAAUGGGCUUAGAGGAUGUUGGACACCUGGUUCUAAGAGAGCUAACAGUAAAAAAUUUCUUCCUCAUGGGCUAAUGGCUCAGGGGAAGCUAAUGUAAUUCAGCUUAGUCCAGGUCUUCAUUUUGAUCUCUUUUGUUGGCCCUAGGGUGCCUUAUAUAUACCAUAUGGCUUCUCCUUUCCUGUUAGUUCUUUGUGGAUAUGCCAUUUCCUUUGCAUAUUAAUAACAUGGGAAAAAAUGGGAAAAAAAAAAUACAUUUCUCAUCAGCAGAAGACAAUGUGGGAAAAGUAAAAGAAGCCUCACUAGCUCUAUAAAUCCAGCUGACACUGAGGUGAAAUGCGACCACGUUCAACAAACCGCAAAAUAAGCUUAUCUGCCUCCUCUGAUUUUCCCUCUAACAUUAGUUUCUUGCUCACCUUCUCACACAGCUUCAGAUCAGGAAUCAGAUUCCGAUUGAACAUUCGACAAGCCACAUUAUAUGACAUCAAAGGAAUCCCUUUGCUCAAAUAACUUUCAAUAAGCAUGUGGCAAGUAUUGGCAUCGAUUUUUGAAGCUGUCCUGAGAACCUUGCCCAAGAGUUUAUAGGCCUGCUCGAGGUUUCCAAAACUACAAAGCUUUUCAAUAACUUGAUUAUAUGCUGUCCUGCAUUCUUGCCUUGAAAGCAUCUUCUCUAAUAACUUCAACAAAUCUUCCACCCUACCCAUCCGACAAUACUGGUGGAUAACUGUCCGAUAUGUGACAGGAGUAGGAAUCAAACCCACCCGAAGCAUCUUCAUUGCAAGUUUAGUUGCUUCUUCUAUUCUACCUUUCUUUCCCAGUGCAUCAAUUAUGGUUGUAUAUGUAACUACAUCUGGGUGUUUGUUACUUAGAUACAUAUCAUCAAGCAAUGAGAGAGCAGCUUCCAAGUCAUCCUUUUGACAAAACCCAUGAAUUACAGUAGUAAAGUUUACCACAUUGACAGCACAUCCAUUGUUCAGACACUGCUCCAUGAACCUUUUUGCCUCAUCCACCUUUUCCUCUUGGCAGAGAGACUGAAUCAGUAAAUUAAUUUCAACUGGUGUUGGAAAGAAACCCUUUUUAAUCAUCUCCCUGACCAAAUCACAGGCCUCAGACGAUUUCCCUUCCCUGCGAAACCCAUGCAUCAAAACGCUGUAUGUGAUAGCAUUUGGAAUCCACCAGUCCUCCUCACUCAUGUUCAUCAUCUCUCUUGCCUCCAAUGAGUUCCCAUUCUUACAAAGCCCAUUUAACAAAGCUGUGUAUGAUACAGUAUUUGGCUUGCAACCAUGCUUGUACAUUUGCCGAAGCAUCUUUUUAGCUUGAUCCACCUUCCUUUCCUGACACAACCCAUUGAUAACAGAAGUGUAGGUGACUACAUCAGGAAUGCAACCCUUAGAAAACAUUUCAUUCACUAUUUCUUUAGCCUUGUCCAUUCUUCCUUCCCGACAGAACGAGUGAACUAUAGCACUAUACCCAACCUUAUCAACCCGAAAUCUCCUCUCUUCUGCUUCCCUUAAAAAUUCAAGAGCCUCAUCCCCAUGGCCAUGCUUGGAGAGCAUAUGGACAAAAGUGUUAUAUGUAACCUGGUCCGGUAACAAAUUACUAUCCUUCAACAUCUUCUCCAUCAACAGUCUCACUUCUUUAAUCCUUUUUUCCUUACAAAGAAAACCCAUCACAGUAUAGUAACUAAUUUUGUCAGGAGAGCAACCUUUAAAAGGCAUUUCAGCAAUCAGUUCCAUUGCAUCCUCAAGUCGAUGCAAAUCACAAUACCCCUUAAUCAAGCAGUUAUAGGUGAUAACAUUAGGUUCAAUCUCAACAAUUUGCAUUCGUUCCAGGAACCUCACUGCCUUGUCCAGCCUAUUUCCCAUUACCAAAACAUGAAUUGCAGUAUUACAUAUUGACAAAUCAGGUUCAAUUCCUGCUUUCUGCAUCAUAGUUAAAACCCGCAUUGCAUUCCUCAACUUGCCUGCCCGACUAUAUGACACCAUCACAUAACCAAAUGCUUCAGGCCGACGCUCAAUUCUCCUCUUAGCCAUAAGUCGAAGAACCCGCUUUGCCCCCUGACACAAUUUUGUCUUGCUUAGAAUCUCAAGCAUUGCAUAGUACACAAUGGGAUCAUGCCGGUACCGCCAUUGCCGGUCAGCCCAGUAGAAGAAUCUCAAAGCAACCCGCUCAUCAGUCUGCAAUUGCAAAACUGCACAAACUUGCCUGGGCUUCAGGCUCCUUAGCAAAUGCCUCAAUUCCCCCUCAAGCUUUGGAUUCCAGGCUGAUCGAAGUUCAAUUAACCUACAUAUUUCUCUUACCAAAGGAUGUCUAGAUUCAUCUUCACCUCCCUCGAAUCUUCUAAUACCUUCUGUUUGUCUGUAACCUCCAGUAAAUGAAUUCAAAACCAUUAAAUCGUCAUCAUUAUGGUCAUUACCUCCUUCUUCUAUAUCACUCGAUUCUUCAUUAUCAUCCAAAUCAUCAAGCCCGCUUCCAAAGUGGCCUAAAUCCCUAGAUUCCCCAAAACCCAUUUGCUUAAAUCUGUCACUCCCUUCUCCGAUGGCAUCAAAAUCGUCUCUCUCGCCAUAUAAACUAGGGUUUGAAUGAGAACUAGGAUUAGGGUUUCUGGAUGAUAAUGACGAGAAAAAUGUUUUAAGUACAUAACUGGGAAAUUGGAAAGAACUUCUGGGUUUACAAGCAGGUCCAACCUCAACGCCAAUUACACAUGCACGAAAUUCAAAUAAAUCCCUAAAUUUAUGAGGGUUAGCAAGGGUUUCUCUGAUUCUGGAGCGAAAUUUGAAAUUAAAGAGCAUUUCAACGGCCGAAAUUUUUUAUACAAGUCACGGAGCUUACGUUAAUACACAUGAAUCGAUGGUAGAAGACUCCACUAUCAAACUUCAAGCCUUUAAUCCUCCUCCAACGAACAAUCAAUUUUCCUCCUAUGCAUGCAUAAACUCGGCCUUGCACGCACCUUCUGUACAAUGGGCUAACUUAAGUCCCCCAUUUUGCACAAUGGGCCAACUCACGCCCCCUUCAUUUUAUUUUUUUUGUACAAUGGGCAUUUUACGAAGCGCUUCUAAAUUUUUUAUCAAAAUAGUUGAUCAAGUGUUAAAAGCCUACAAACACUUUUUAGAAUCCUCAUCAAACAAGCUCUUACAAGUCUCCAAUGAGUUUCUGAAAUUUGGGGUGAAAUUGCUCCAUUCGCCAAACAAAAUAUAGGAUUUCGCUGUUAAACUAUUUUUCAAACUUGUAUCUUUUUUAACAAAAAUACAGUACAAAUUUAAAAGUCAUAAUUUUAAAAUAUGAUUUCAAAUACAUACAAGAUACUAAAAUCAUAAUUUUAAAUAUAUAUUAAAACAAUAGUUUUAAAAUAUGGUUUCAAAUAAAUUUUAAAAAAAAAAUGACCACAACCAUUGGACUAGAAAUAACAAAUCUCAAUUAUCUAGAACUCAAUGAUUAUCUUUAUAUGUCUGAAUCUAUAAAGAAUCUCAUUUCAGUUUCUAGUUUAAAUAAUAUAAUUAUUCUAUUUAUUUCAAUAAAGUAGUUUUUAUCAUAAAGUGAUGAAAAAUAAUCUCUCAUGUAUCUUUACAUUCUAAUUUACUAUAUAUAUAUAUAUAUAUAUAUAUAUAUAAAGAAUGACCGAUGAGAUCCCUUAAAGUAGGCUACAUAUUAAAAAGAAUCCCUAAAAUCAAGCAAUUUGAUUGCAAAGGUCCUAUAUGAAUUUUAGGCAAGGUUCCUAUAUGGAAUAUACCCAAAUUCUUGGUACAAGAAACAUGAGUCAGCUUUUACAAGAAAGGAAAAAUAUGAUAGAAGAAAUCAAAUAUAUAUGAAGGAAAAUUAACAGUUGAUUUCUUAGCCUAUUCUUCUAAUGGUUCCCCUCAAGCUAGUGUGAAAAUAUUUUGCAUCCCCAACUUGUCUAAGUUUGUAUAAAAAGUUGAACUUGGUAGAUCAUUUGUUAAUAUAUCUGCCAACUAUUUAAAAAAUGGGAAAUAUGAAGUGCAAAUCAACUCACUAUCAAGUUUUUCUUCGAUAAAAUGUUGAUCUAUCUCCACACGUUUGGUCCAAUAAUGAGGAACGGGGUUAUGGGCUAUAUUUAUAGUAGUUUGGUUAUCACAAUAUAACCUCAUGGGUCUUUUCAAAGUGAUGCCAAGGUCAAUAAGAAUGAUCUUUAUCUAGAGUAGUUCAUGAAUCUCUUGAACCAUGACCCUAAACUCAACUUCUACGCUAAAUUUAGCCACUAUCGACUGUUUUUUAUUUCUCCAAGUAACUAGAUUUCCUCCCAUGAAGGUACAAUAUCCAAUAGUUAACCUUUUAUCAACAAUUGAUCCAACCCAAUCAUCAUCACUAUAAACUUCCAAUUCUAUAUUUCUUAUAUUUUGAAAUAAGAUUUCCUUGCCUAGUGUGGACUUUAGGUAACGUAGGAUUCUAUAUAUUGCCUCCAUGUGAGAAUCAUGUGGUGGAUGCAUUAAUUGGAUUACCAUACUUGCAACAUUUGCAAUGUCUUGUGAGUAUGAGAUAAAUAAAUUAAUUUCCCCACCAAUCUUUGAUAAAGGUUGCAGUUUACCAUAUAAUCCUCUAUUUUUCCUCUUAAUUUAUUAUUUUGUUCAAUGGGAGUCUCUACUAGUUUGCAUCUAAGCAUCCCUGUUUCCCUUAGCAAAUCAAGGAUAUAUUUUUGUUGCGAAAUAAAUAUUCCCUACUUUGAAUGUGUCACUUCAAUCAUGAGGAAAUAUUUUAGAGUCACUAAAUCUUUGAUCUCAAAUUCAUUAAACAAAGAAGUUUUUAGUAUUUGAAUUUUCCCCUCAUCAUUUCCAAUAACAAUAAUGUCAUCCACAUAAACAAUCGAGGCAGUAAACUUACCAAAGGAGUUAUGUUUCAUAAACAAUGUGUGGUCUCCUUGACUUUGAUGGUAGUGCAUUCUUGUCAUUGAUUUUGUAAAUCUCCCAAACCAUGCUUUUAAAGAUUGUUUAAGUCCAUAAAAGGACUUCUUAAGUUUGCAACUUUGUUCUUCUAAGCCUUAUCACUAAAACUUGAUGGAGUGUCCAUGUAUACCUCUUCUUCUAAGUCGUCAUGUAAGAAAGCAUUCUUCACAUCAAAUUGUUGCAAAAGUCAAUCAAAAUUAGUAGUUAAAGACAUUAGAAUAUAAAUAGUGUUCAUUUUUGCCACUGGUGCAAAGGUCUCUUGAUAGUAAAUGCCAUAAGUUUGGGUGAAUCCCUUAGCUACUAAUUUGGCCUUAUUAUACUUUUUAUUGUCUCAUCCACCACCUUGUAUUUAAUUGUGAAAAUCCACUUGCCACAUAUUGUUUUCUUCUCUUUGUAAAGCUCAACCAUAUCCCAAGUCUCAUUUUUUUCUAAGGCUUUCAUCUCCUCAUUAACUGUUUUCCUCCAAUUCUCACCAAGGCUUUCAUCUCCUCAUUGAUUGUUUUCUUUCAAUUCUCACCUCUAAGUGCCUCUUGGAUUGUGUUUGGAAUUUCAACGAAAGAUAUUUAGGUAAUAAGGCUAGGUAUGUAGAUGAUAAACAAUGUAAUGAGGUAAAAUUAGAAAUAGAAUGUUGAGUGCAUUUUCUACAUCCUUUUCUCAAUGCAAUAGGCCAACACAAAUCAUUGUAGACAACAGAGUGAGUAUUUUCAUUACCUAAUUAAAGUUUAGAUGAUGGGAUAUGAGAGGAUGUUGUAGAUUUUCCUUUCAUCGAAUACACUUUUAGUUUGAAGGUAUUUGUUGGCAGCAUGUGUUCCAUUUCUAUGAGCCGAUUCUCAAGUUCAUUGGCUAGAAUUAUAGUGGGCAAAUUUUCUACAAUUAACUCUUCGUUGAGAGUUUCCUAGAAUUUCUUAUGUUCACUAGCUAAUCCAUUAGAAGAAUCCAAGGUUGAAACAUUUGGAACCACAUGGAGUGUUGAUGCAAAAUCUAAAUAUUUUAGGGCUAAAACAUCUUAGAUAAUAGGGAGUAUUGGUGUAAACCCUGAAAAUUAUGAUGCUGAAACAUCUUGGAUAGUAGGAGAACUUGACGUGUUUGAGGUAGAGGCAUUUGGCACAUUAAAUGGUUGUGGAAGGACACCCCUACCAUUCUCACCAUUCAUAGGAAAAUUCCUAACAACUUAUCUUUCAUUCAUCUACUCUCCCUCUUGAAGAUAAGUGUGUGUGAAAUAUAGUUAACUCUUAAAAAAUGUAACAUCCAUAGUAAUGUAUGACCUUUUUGUGGGUGGAUGGUAGCAUUUAUAUCAUUUUUUAUUGGAAAAAUAUCCAAGGUAGACACACCUAAAAGCUCUUAGGUUAAAUUUGUCUCUAGAUUAUUUGGAAAUAUGAAUGAAAGAUACACACCCAAAUAUUUUUGGAAGAAGUGUUCUAAUAUCCUUCAAGUUAGGAAAAUACUUUAAAAGUACAUCAAUAGGGGAUUUAAAGUCUAAGACUCAAGAAGGCAUUUGAUUUAUUAAAAAUGUAACAAUCAAAAUGACUUCCUCCUUAUAUGUUUUUGGAACAUUUAUUUGAAAAAAUAAAGACCUAACAACUUCCAAGACAUGUUUGUUUUUCCUCUUUACUACCCCAGUUUGUUGUGGGGUAUUUACACAUAAAGAUUAAUGCACAAUACCUUCAUUUUAUUUAGGUGACAAGAUUAUGGUUGAAGUAUUCUCUUCCAUUAUCUAACCUUAAGUUAUGGGUUUUGGUGCCAAAUUAGGUAUGAAUGAAUUUGUGGAAUAUUGGGAAAAUGAAAUUAACUUCCGAUUUGGAUUUUAAGAGAUAAACCCAAGUAGUACAAGUACAGUCAUCAAUGAAGGUAACAAACCAUCUAGAACUCGAAAUGUUUGGAAUUCUAGAAGAUCCUCAAACAUUAGUAUGUAUUAAACUAAAAGGAAAUGUUUCCUUUUUAUUUCUUAUUGAAAAUGGUACACGAUGGUGUUUUGCAAGCUCACAAACCUCAAUAAAAAUCAUAGGAUUUAGUUUUGUCAAACAAUGUGGGAAACAUUUUUUCCAAAAUGAAGAAAGAUGGGGGUCCCAACCAUUUAUGUCAUAGCCAUAUUUGAUCAACUUUUGAGGGAUUGUUGGUAGUAAUAAGAGCUUGUGCAAUAAAAUCACCAGUCUUCCAAUAUGUAUUGAAGUAGUAGAGUUUAUCUUCCUCUCACCAUGCCUAAUCAUCCUCAUUUUUAUUUGGUCUUGAAAAACACAAUAGGAAGAGAUAAAUGUUACAAAACAAUUCAAAUCUUUAGUGAUUUUACUAAUGUUUUCAGAACCAGACCAAACAUUGAAUUGAAAAAAUUAUUGGUUCACAGUUCACUGGUCAAAUCGUUAUUGAACUGCGGUCGAACUAGUGAUGUCAUAAAUAUACAUUUUAUAUUUUAUUAGAAUUAAAAAUCAUUAUAAGAAAUUAAUAUAUAUAUAUAAUUAAAUUUUUUUAAUAAUAUUUCAUUUUUAUAUUUGAUAUAUCAAAUUAAAUGAUAAAGAUAAAUAAAAAUGUAUCAAUAUACUAAAUUUUAUUAAAUGGAAUAGGUAUAAUAUUUAAAUAUGAAAGUAAAAAUAAAAUUAUAACAUUUAAUUUAAUUACAUAUAUAUAUUGUUAUUUAAAAUUUUUAAAAAUUAUUAUAUUAAUUAAUUUCAUAUUUAUUAUUAAUAAUUAUUAUAACAUAAAUGUAUAUAUAUAAAUAUUUAUAUUUGUUUAAAUGGUUUAUAUGAUAAAAUUUUAAAAUAAGGAUAUAUAUAUAUAUAUAUAUAUCCUUAAAAAAAACCAUUAAAAGAAUAGACAUAUUUAAAUAAAGUACCAUUUGGUUUGCGAGAUAGUACAAAUGGGUGAUGUAGCUAUUAAGAAGAUACCUUCUGUGGAAAACCUAGUGGAUCCUUUCACUAAAAACUUUGUUGAGCAAAGUCUUUGGUGGUCAUAGGGAUAACAUAAGUGUUAAAUGUAUUUUUGGUAUGCUUUAAGGGCUAGUGGGAGAUUCUUAGGAUAGAGUCUUUAAAAACAAAACAUGAUGUAAUAAUAAUAAAUUUCUUAAUUUUCAAAAUGAUUCAAGUUUCCCUAUCUUUUAUCCUAUUUAUGUAUUACACUUUCUAAGUAUUCUGAUUAGGCAUUUCUUGUGUUGUACAUGACUUGAGUGAAUUAAGAGUUGCAUGGAAGAUCUAAGUUAUAAGUUUCUUAUAAGUAAAUGAUUUGUUCACACUUGUUUCAAGGACUUAGGCAAUUCAUUUGAGGCUAUAGUCUACUACCUCCUAAUUGGAGGAUGAUUGGUCUUGAUCAUUAAGAUAAGUUUCCCAUGGUGAGUGCACUAAUGUAUGUGGUUACAUAUAGGAUAUGACUUAUGGUAAGUCAUGAUAUUAGUUAUUGGACAAUCAUGAUCUCAUCUAACUACUAUAUUGUAAAGGUUCUCAACCUUGAAAGUAAGGGUCUAAAUAAAGUCGGUUUGGUUGGUUUUUGGAUAAAAAAUGAACUAAAUUGAUAUAAUAGGUUUUACAUGUGAUAAAAACCGAACCGACUAGAUUUGGAGUGAAAAAACCAAACCAAGCCAAGCCUUUUAAUGUCGAUUUGGUUCGGUUUUUGUAGAUUGGUUUUGACCCAAUUUAUUAACCUUUUUUUAGUCCUAAACCUAAUUGUAGAUUUAUGUUUGUUUUAAGUUCAAAUCAUAUUAAUUUGAGUUUAUACUAGGCCCUAAGUCUAAUUUUUUUUAAAAAUUAAUUAAACCUAACUUGGAUUUGAUGUUAAAAAUAUAUUAAAUGCAUUUAGAAUUAAUUUGACCAUAAUAUAAAAACAAUGAUUUACUUUAAUAGAAUCUAAUAUAGAAAAAUUUAUCAAAUAUCAAACAAUUAUAUAUAAGUUUUAGGAUAUUCGUUUAGUUUGGUUUUUAUCCAUUAGGACACAAGAAAAUCGAAAACUGAACCGACAAGAUCGAUUUUCAAAAUUCUCAAAUUGAACCAACCUUUUUUAUUUUUGAAAACCGAACCAAUAUAAUCAAUUUGGUUGGUUUGGAUCAGUUUAUCGAUUUUUUUGGUUUUGCUUACACCCCUACUUGAGAGGAUAUUGAGCUUGUCUUACAUUUUCAAUGGUUUUAACCUACGGGUGAAACCCUAAGGUGACAAUAUAUUACUAUGGAUUAGGUCACUAUUGAUAGAGGUUACUUGUAAUAGGUAUACUCAAGAUAGGCACCAUGAUUUCUCAUGGGUUUGAGACAACAUGUCCUCUUAAGUGAUCCCAAGGACAUGUGAUUAGGAAAUUUAUGCUCACAAUAAUUCAUUAAUUGGAAUUUGACAUAUGUUCUUUAUGAGGUAGAAUAUGUCAAUUGAUCACACGAUAUGAGGAUUUGAGACUCAAGGAUUGUAGAGGUAAUCUUGAGAUAUUGAUAACAUUUGUCUCGUUAGUUUUCAGACACUAGUUCAUAGGAAGCCUACAUAUAGUGGAUAAUAGGUCACAAACCUAAGUUCUUAUAUCUCAUUGUAAUAUUAUAAUAUACUGAAGUUUAGUUGACUCUCUAUAGUGAAAUGUAGAGUCAACUUUAGAAUUGGAUUUGGAGGAAGUAAGUAUGUUUUGCUUACAUUGCAAGACUUCAUGAAAUAUGUGCAUACAAUAAUAUUUGAUAUUUUUUCUUAUUUUAUAUAGAUUAAUCUAAUUGAAAGGUUAUACCACAUCAUCAAGCUAAUAUGAUACACUAAAAGUAUUGGAUACUUUGUCAAUCUUUAUAAUAUUACCAUCAUUUCUCUUUGUGAAGUCUUUCUAUUGACAAACUUCAGCUAAUGAUCCAAGGAGGAUGGAGGGUAAAUUAGAUGCUCAUAAUUUUUUAACAACUUUUACUACAUUACACGAUUAUAUGAAAAUAAUGGAAAUUAAAAGCAAUAAAUCAACAAGAAGGAUAGGUAAGAGAAAGCAAACGCAGUAGUGUAUUGGUGUGAUUCAACUCAAUCCUACCUAUGCUCACAAUGUUAAGCUUCAAUCCAAGCCUUGAGGAAAUUUACUAAACCAAGGAUCUUUCAAAACAAAGGGUCUUUCAAGGAACACUUGGUUUAAGGUACCACCCGAACUUUACACUUUCAAAAGUGCUCUUCCAAUACUCAACCAAUUCAUUUAUCAUAGAGUACAAUUGAGAUAGUAGCUUGAAUAAGUACAAGAACUAACUUAGAUAAUAAUUAAAAUGUGAAAAGUAGUUAGUCUUAGUGGUGUAAUAAAAUAAUAUGCUAAAAUAAAUUCUCACAAAUGAUUUAAAGGUGGUAGACAAAUCAAAAAUUGAGUUGACAAGCUUUUGAAAUGAGUUUUUGCAAUAUAGUUGUUGUUGGAAUAUGUGCCCAUAAACAAAUGAGAUGUUUUUUAUUUUGCUGAUUAUUAAUAUUUUUUUAAGUAAUUAUUUCAAUAUUAUUGUUGCAUGCAUGUUUUAGAUGCUUUAUAAAUAUCAAAAACCCUAGAUUAUUUAAUUGUAACUUUAAAUAUUGUAUAUAAGUGUUAUAUACAGGAGGAUAAUAUUUAAAGUAAAAUAAUCUAAUAUGUUCGUAAUUAAAAAUUAAAGUUGGGAUCUUUAAUUUAAAAUUACUAGCGCGGUUCAUUACAUUCUGAAUGAAAUGAUCUUAUCCGGAUUGUUAAUAAUGAGAUUAUUGGAAUGAAAGCGCUUUAUAUAAUUUGAUUAUAUAGGACUGGAACACGAUUAAUUAUGAAUCUCUGAUAAAUUCCGUUAUAAUAUAGAGCAUUCAAUAUUAAUCAAUGAUGGUCAUAUAUGCAUUGAUCUUAAUUCUGAGUAAUUAAUAGACUCCUAUUUAUUGUAUUUUUUGACAUACCGGGUAAUGACACAAAUACAUAGUGUCAAAUUCUUGGUGUAUUGGAAGUAUAAUAAAAUAAAUAGCCGGGAAUAUUAAUAUACAAGAUGAAAUCCAUUCCUUCGUUAAGAAGUCAGAUGGACGGUUCCCAUAAGUAUUGGUUCGGGCCUUGAAUGAUAAGAGCGUUCAAUUUAUGAUUAGACCAUAAAUAUAUUAUUCAUUAGAGAACCAAUGGCACUUAAGGAGAAAGAUAUAAUUAAAGAGGUUAACGGAAAAACCUAGCUUUAAUUAUGAACCGUUUAUGGAGGAUUGACUCAUAUGUAGUGACUAUAUCAAUGGGCAAUUCAAAUCCUUUGAACAUAUUUAAUUUUAUAAUUUUAAGAGUGCAAUUCCAAAUUUUUAGUGGAGUAAUUUUGGAAUUAAUAAUUUUGAUUUUUAAUUAAAUUGUUAAUUAAUUGUCAAAAUUAUUGGAGCUUAAAAUUAUAAUGUCCAUAGUUCCUCUCAACGGCUCCAUUAAAAUUAUAUGAACAUUUUUUUAUGUUGGGUUGAUUUUAUUAGUUUGGAAUUUUGAAUUCUAAAUUAAUUUCACACAAUCUUGAUUUGAUUUAUUUAUUUUAUAAUUUGAUUAUUUAAAAUAUUUUUUGAUACAAUGUGGUGAAGACCACACUUACUUGUAUUCCCUAAGAAACACUUUUUAAGUGGGGAUCAUGGGGAGAGAUAUUUUCUCCCUGGUUUUUCAAAAUUCAAAAUAUGUCAGUUAUUUUUUCUUCGUUGUAUUAAAAAGUUUUUUUUCCCUCAAUUUUUUUUUUUUGGGAUGAGAAUACAAGUUUUCAAUAUAUUAAGUUGUGUGAUAAAAACCCAAAAAAUCAAAAACGCCCACUCGUUUUGAGUUCAUCAUUAUUUGGAAAACGUUAGAGAAAGAUCCAUAGUGCUUUAGAGGAUUUGGAAUUCUAAGAUCUUUUUGGUGGAGUUCAAAUUUAUCAGCCUAAUCGCAAGGUACAAUUCUAAAUUACCUAUAUUUGUUAUUUCAUUAAAUUAAUACAAGUAUUGAUCAUUGAGAAAAAAUUUUGAGAAAAUUUUUAUGGCUUCCGUUUUUCUUUUAAUUAUCUGGUUUCAAAACCAAUAGUUGUUAGAAAUAAUUUACUAUUGAACCAACCAGCCACUAGCCAUUACCAAUUAAUGCACUCUAUUGGUGGCCAUUAUAAGCAAAAUAGAUAACUUGUUCACCAUCUAGUCGAUUGAGUUAGAUCAACUAGUCCCUAAAUGUUAGUGAUCAAUGUUCUCUAUUGUCUCAAAUAGUAAGCCUAAAUUAUGUAGCAACUCUGGUUAAGAAAAACUAAAGAAAGAGUUACCACAACUUUCAUAGUAUUCUAAGUAUCAUCUUCAAUGACUGACCUAUGAAAGUUAUUGAACUAGGUAAAAAGAGAUUUGCUUUUACUUAAAUUCUAAAAUGAAAAUAAUAUAUGAAUUGGUUUUAUGAAGUUGAAGUAACUUAAACUAAAUUACAAAUUAAGAAAAUAUUUUUUUUAAAGUUAAUUGAUUCAAAUUUAAGGAUUUUCACAAUCCAAUUUAGGAAUAGAAGUUAAAGAGAAUACAUGUUUCUUAAUUAUGGUGAUCUUAUAGUUUUUAGGAUUCUUGGUCGUUUACGAUAAACAUGAUUUUCAAACUCAAAGUUAUAUCCAAAAACUAAUUUUAUCUUUUCAAUUAAGAUUCCUAAAUACCAUCAAACGAAUGAAAUUGGUUUCUGGUACAAGUCUCAAUUUUUUUUUAUCUUUUCUACUUCUUAUAACUUUGUCGGUAAAUAAUAAUAGGUAAAAAUAAGAUAUGUAGUUAUCGAGGGCUACCAAGAAUCACCAAUAUCUACCAUAUCAUUCCUUAAUUUAACUAACAUGGAGAUAACUAAACAUUCAUAAUUUUUAAUAAUGUAAAGUUUCAUUCCCUAAUUGAAUAAUCUACUAUACCAAUGUAAAUCAUUGGUUGUGACUGCAAUUUGGAUAGACUUUUUCUUUUUCUUUUUCAAAUCUCUAGCUUAUGAUGGAUAUUACUUUUAUUUUCAGUUUUAUUUUGGUGGUUAUGUUUAAAUUUUUAAUAUCAAAAUUUAUGAAUGAUAAUUAAAUGUUAGAAUUUUAUUUGACCUACAUUAAUGUAAUAUUAUAUAUAUAAAUCUAGAUUAAUGAUCUUAUUGAUAUCAAUUAUGAAUAAUUUUCAAAAUAAGUGAAUCAAAUUUAUUUGAAUUUUAUUUGACCUACAUUAAUGUAAUAUUAUAUUUGAAAUUUAUUUAGUAUCUAUAAGUGAAUCAAAAUAAAUAUUUGUUUCACUUGAUUUUCUAAAACUCAUUUUAAUUGUAAAUUAAAGUAAAAAAGAAAUAAUUUUAGAAAUAUUUUCAUAAUGUUAAUUAUGAAGCAUUUAGGUAGUAGGUUGUUUUCAUAUUCAUUUUAUUUUAUUUUCCUUCCCAUGUAUUUCUUAGUAAUCUAAUUUUCUUUGCCUUAACUUUUCCAUAGACAAUUUUUUUUUUUUUACUUUUCCUCCAAUAUAAAUAUAAUGUUUCUUAUUUAUUCUUUACUUCUAUAACAAGUUAUAGUAUAAGGUGUCAUUCUAAUAAAAGAUUUUGGGUAUAUUUAUAAGCUUAACAUUUUUUAAUAGAUAAAUAAAAAUUAAAGUUAAAAUUAUAAAAGUGAAAAAUUUUUAUAGUUUGUUUGGCCGUUUGAUUUAAAAACAGUUCUCUGUUUUUAAAAUUUUGUAACACUAUUUAACCAUUAUUUUCUAAAAACAAAAUGAAAUAGAGAAUAAUUUUUAAAAAAUAAAAGUUGUUUUCACCAAUUUUUUUUUUUAAAAAAAAACAUAAACUCAUUUGACCAUAUUUUUUAAAACUUGUUUUUAAAAACUAUUUUUUAUUCUUUAACUUAAAAAUAAUUUUUAAAAACAAAUUUUAGAAAACAUACUCAAACAAGCCCUUAAACUCUAAUUAAAAAUAGGAAAAAUAAAUAAAAGAAUUUAAAAUUAUUUUGUGAUCAAAACAGGAAAAAAAAAAUAGAAAGAGUUUACCUUUAAUGAAAUUUAUUCCGAUAGAAACACGAUACUAAAAAGAAUUUAAUUAAAAAAAAAAGAUAGGAAAGAAAAUUAAUUAUAUCAUUUGUAAAUUAACAUAUUAAAUGGAAAAAAAGAUAUAUUUGCAUAUAUUGAUAUAAAAAUAAUUAUAAAAUAGAAAUUUUUUAUAAGUAAUUUUAGUUUUAUUUACUAAUUGAUUAAGUAUAAUAAUCAAAGGCAAUACAUAUAUUAUUAAAAAUGUGAAACACGUUCUUCCCCCAUCAAAUGACUCUUAAAUAAAAUUCAACCUCAAGUGAAUUUAAUUUAUCUUAAUGUGAUAAGGUUUUCUUGUGAUUGGAGUUUGACAACUGCCCCCAACUUCAUGGCCGCCCAUGUGUUGCCAACUUUCUAAAGGAUGUUCUAACUUUUCUUUGAUUUCAUUUUAAAAAUAAUAUUUAUAAAAAUAAAUAUAUUUUAAAAUUUUAAUUAAAAUUUUUGUUUGACAAAGUGAUUUUCUUGAAACAAAAUAUAAGUACAUAAGAAAAAAAUUAAUUAUGACAUCACUUAAGUGAUUUUUUAUUAUUAUUAAAUAUCAUCUAAAUUAAUAAUAACAUAAAAGAUUGAAAUAUUAUAAACUGUCUCUAACAAUCAAAUAAUCAUAAAUAUUAUAGGCAUAAACUCUUAUCAUGAUCGAUACCACUUUACUUACUAAUCAACCAACAUAUUUUUUCUAUAGAAAGUAAUUAGUACUGGAAAGGGAUAAAAAGUUAGGUGAAAUUUUGAAAAAGUGAAAGAAAGAAGGGAUGACUAAAAGACUUUAGGGUCUGGUCUUGUUUUUUUUGUCAACUUUGGCUUCAUCUGAUGUCCGGAAAGGAUAAAAAAGAGAGAAAAAGAAAGGGAACAUUAAAGAUUUUGAAAGAUACAAAGGUUUUCAACUACCCAUUUUGUUUUUUAAACCCAUUUUUUGAUAUUUUGUAAAAUAAAAAUAUGUUUGAAAAUCUAAAAUAUUUUUAAAUAUAUUUUAAAAAUAAAAUUUAUAUUCAAUAUUUUAUUUUUAAUCAUUUUACAUCAAUAAUUAUUUUAUAAAACAAUUCUAAAAAACUAAGUAAAAAUAAUAAAAAUAACUAAAAUAUAUUAUAUAAAAACAUUAUAUUUUCUAUUCUUAAGAAUAGAAAACAGUUAUUUGGUUAUUAAACUUAUUUUCUUGGUUUUUUGUUAUAGAAAAUAAAAACAUGUUCUUAAAAAUAGUUGUCAAAUAAAUUUUGAACUUUUAAGAAAAUUAGUGUUGCAAGGUUGCUGGUUCAAACCAUCUCUUUCUAAUAUUUGGUUCUAAAAAAGUUGAAGAAAAAGACAAAACAAAGAAAAUACAAAAGACUAAAAGUAAUCAGAAAAGUGAUAUUUAAAAAAAAAUUAUAUCUAAUAAAUUAUUUUUAUAUACUAUUUCAAAUUUAUUUCACUUAUAUUAACUUUAUAAUAUAAAGAUUAAAUAAUUAAAAAUAUAUAUAAAUUUUUUAAUUUUAUUUAUUUAUUUUUAAUGUUUUUCAUAAUGUAAUAAAAAAUAAAUCCUUUUUUUUGGUAAUUUUUUUCUUUUUUUAGUAUUUUUCAAAAAUAGAAAAAGUUGGUAGGUGGGCUAAUCAGGAUGAUAGGCAUCUCAAAUAAUUUUUCUUUAUUUACUUGGACUUUUACGAUGCUACAUGCACUUAGAAUAUUUUAUCACUCUUAUAAUUUAUUUUUAGUUUUUUGUCAUCUGUUGAUACCAGAUCAACUGAAGAUGGAUUCCUCUCUUAGACAUGAUAGCAAAAAUUCCUGUUCUAGUGCCGGAAUCUAGGCUUUUUGUUUUCCUACACAAAGAUGUUCAAAUCGGUUGUCCGAAUACACCCUCUGAAGCUCAAGUCAGAUUUUGCGAAUGAAUAAAAACCCUUAGAGAGAGAGAGAGAGAGAGAGAGAAACUUAGUGAGAGAACUCACAGUGUUGCCUCCUUCUUGUUCUGUUUCAAUAAGGCUUUUAUAAUGCUCAAAGAGGGAAGACACAGUGGUGCUGAACUGACAUUUGUAGUGAUAAUUACGCAGUAGUGACAGGGCAAUCAUCACAAUUGCAAGACAGUUGGGGGCUGUGUCAGACGAUGCGUCAUAACACAACUUGUCAUCCUUUCAAUCUUCUUGAUGACUUGAGACUGGACGUGCCUGUCUACUGAAAUAGAUGUGAGGAUGGGAAGAAUCUCAUCAGUCAAUCUAGUAUCAGUUAACCAUGAUCUCGCAUAUCAGAGAGGAUUUGAGGUUAUCAGGGGAUGCAAUUCGUUUAGUGACGCAAAUGGUCUAGACAAGAUGUCUUUGGAUACCUUGAAGAUUGUCUGAGCAGUGAUGAAAGAAAUGACAUGUGAUCCAACUGGGACGAUGCCACAUGGACACACGUAUGUAAUACUCGUGGGUGGACAUGUGGGAUAAGGGUCCCACAUCAUCCACUUAGAAUAUUUUUUUUAAAAUGAGGUAUUAUAUAAUUGUAACUCCAUUUUACCACUUAUUUACUAGACAUGAUAAAAUGUUCAAUUAUUAAACAUGGGUAAAUAGUAAUUAUACAAAUAAAAUAAUUUUUAAUUAUUAGAUAUAAAAAUUAGUUUACAUUCUAUCAUAAUCUAUCACUUGAGAAGGUGGUAAAAUCGAUUAUAUCAUCAUAUUUUUUUAUAUAAAAAAUUAUAAAAUUAAUUAAAUUCGUGAUACCAAAUAAAAUAAAAUGAUAAAAAUAGAGUAAAAAUAUGAUAAAACCAUUAUUAUUAUUAUUAUUAUUAUUAUUUACUUUUCUUUAUUAAAAUAUAUUUUUAAAAAUCAUGAAAAAUGAUAGUCAUUUGUAGAAUAUCAGAAAGAGAGCCACCUGUAUAAAAAGACAAAUCGGAGGAGCCUUUGCGGGGCACAUCCUCUUAUAAAUACCCCCGAUGAUCUCUCGCAUGUCCUCUGCGCCAGCCAUCUCUCCCUGCAAAGUCGUCGGACAUGGAGUCCGGACAGUGUUACAUUGCAGCCGGUGAGCCUCGAUCAUCUCUCAUCUUUCUCGGAACCGGCGCUUCCGGCGGCCUCCCUUAUGCCCGUUGCCUCAUCCAGCCCUCCGAUCCUCCCUGCAGUGUCUGCUUCCAGUCAUUCUCGCUCCCUCCGGAGCGGAACCCUAAUUACAGGUCCUUUCUCCAUUUCUCUACUGUUUUUGCUUGAUUUUUUAUGCAGUUUGUGUUAAUUGUUUGCAUUUUGUAUUGAUCGAAUCAUAGAUCUGGAAAUUAUUCUUAACGUUUCUAUGUGGUGGAAGUAAGUGUUUGUUUGCUUGUUUGAAUAGUUUUAAUUGCUUCCCUUAUUUGCCGUUCUCUGAUGCAUUUACAGUCUUAUUCGUGGCAAGGAUGAAUAUUUUUAACACUUUACUGUUUAAAAUAUAUGCAUAUUUAUUUAUUUAUUAAAAUUAUCUUAAAUUUUUUAUAUUCAUUUAUUUCAAAAAAAAAAAAAAAAAUAGAACAUGCUAAUGAAAUUAUUAAUUUUAUUGAAAUUUUUUUAUUAUAUUUUGAAUAAAAAUUAAAUUAUUCAACAAUUUAAAAUAAAAAAAAUUUAUAUAAAAUAUUUUAUUAAUUUUUAUUUAAUAUUAUUGGAAAUGUGAAAUGAAAAUCUCGAAUUGAUGUAUUAAUAAAGUUAAGAAAAACUUUUCACAAAAAUAAAUUAAUAAAAGUAUAAAAUUAAAAAAUAUAUAUAUAGAGAAGACAAACUAGGAAAUUGAAAAUAAUAUAAUCAUGAUUUAUGUUUCAAAUAAAAACUUUUCUUCUUCUUUUAUAAAUGGUUAAAAUUAAAAUAAUAAUAAUAAUAAUAAUAAUUCGUAGGAUAUACCGAGCAGGGCCACUACACGGAGGCCACGUGCACAAAAGAACAACCGACAAAACCGUUGCUUGUUCGCGGGGCACAUGCUUCGUAUAAGUACUCCCAAUGUUCUCUCGCCUUGCCUCUACGCCAUCUCUCUAUAAAGUCAUCGGAAAUGGAGUCCGGCAAUCUCGCUGAGAACGGACACUGUUCCGAUGCCGCCGGCGAACCUCGAUCGUCUCUCAUCCUUCUCGGAACCGGCUGUUCCAGUGUCGUCCCCAAUGCCAUGUGCCUCAUCCAGCCCUCCGAUCCUCCCUGUAAUGUCUGCUUCCAGUCAUUGUCGCUCCCUCCGGAGCGGAACCCAAAUUACAGGUCUUUCCAUCAUUUUUUAGGGUUUUUACUCGAUUUUUGUAUGCACUUUGUGUUAAGGGUGUAUGCAUUUUGUAUGAUCUGCUUGUGGAUCUGGAAAUUAUUUUAGGGUUUCUAUGUGAUGGAAGUGACUGUUUGUUUACUUGUUUGAUAGGUUUUAAUAGAUGCACUUAUUUUCUGUUCUCUAAGGCAUGUACAUUCACUUUUUCCCACUAUAGAAAGGGAAGAGAUCAUCCUUUUUGGUUGUCUGCGUGCCAAUUUUGCCAAAUUUUCCUGAAGAUUUACUAUGGUUUAUGCAAAAGUGAAGGAUUCAUUAGUUAGUGAACUUGAGUUCACAUCUCUAACAAAAUGGUCAUUACUUGAGCAUAUGCGUUUGGGUUGUGCAAGAGAGAAUGAAUUGUGAACAGAUUUUUGAGGGACUUCAUUUUUAUGUUUGUUUGUUUGGGUCAUCUACAUUUUUUAUGGUUGAAAUUGAUCUUUUGUGGAUUUGCAGGUGCAAUACUUCUCUUCUGAUUGAUUAUUGCCAGAACAAUGGUGAACACAAAUACAUAUUGAUUGAUGUCGGAAAGACAUUUAGGGAGCAAGUUAUUCGGUGGUUCACUUUUUAUAAGAUUCCUCAAGUGGAUUCUGUGAGUUUUCAUCUUAUAUGUACUUUUCCUUUCUAUCAUCGAUAGUUAGAAAGUCAAAUAAAUGUUCUCCAUUUGUUUGCUCUAGAAAAGAAAGAAUAAGAAUAUUGAUUAUUGUCAAGCAUUAAGGUGUGUGCAUCUUUAAAACUACAAGAAAUAAUAUUUUGACAUUUCCUAAGAAUCACCCUUUUUUUUAAAUAAGAAACUAUGCUAGUAUUCUUGAAGUAACAGAGAACUUCUGCCUAAGAGAAAAUGUACAUGUUACCAGUAGGCUUGAGAGAGGGGAAAAAGGCUCCCAAUAAAGCUCCACCCACAAACCCUUAACAAGGCUCCCAAAAUGAAAGUUUUAAAACUCUAGCAAUGUCCAACAUAUUCCAUACCCAAUAAUCAUACCUUCAUUACCUUUCCUUUCAUGAGUCAUCCAAGAAAGUCUUUUUUAUCGAAAGAUCAGAGGCUUCUAAUUCAAGCUCCACCCAAAAACUCCUAACAAGGUUCCCCAACAAAUUAACAGGAGAGAUAGCUCCUUUCUUGCCAGUCUAUUGUCAUUCCAAUGUGUUGAUUUAGAUUUCAAGAAAAUGAACAUUUUAAAACACUAGCAAUGUCCAACAUAUUCCACGUCCAAUAAUCAUACCUUCAUUAUCUUUCUUUCAUGAGUCAUCCAAGGAAGUCUUAUUCAUCGAAAGAUCAGAGCCUCCUAAUUCUCUUUCUAAUUUUGGGGCCUUCCUACUAAUGUCAGUUUCUGUGCUUUAUUGGCUAACCAACAAAGCCAAUUGCCUUCUACAAAACCUCAGAAAAUCCCACAUUUGUACUCUUGGAAAAGGCUGCCAAUUCUCAUCUGAGUCAGGUUACCCAAGGCACAGUCUUGAAAAUUAAGCUUUAGGAUACCUAUUGGUGGAGAAGCCAACUCAGCCCUAACCUUCACCACUUCCCUAUGUCAGAGGCAGAUGGAUCUCCAAUUGAACAAAUUAAUGCUACAAGGGGCUUCAGAAAGCUUCUCUGUGAUUGAAAUGACCCUAUCUUCAUGACCUUUUCCCUUCAUGAGUAAUCUAAGAAACUUCUAUUCCUCAGAAGAUCAGAGGCACCUGAUUCUCUUGCUAAUUUCAGGCCCUCUAGUAAUGCUAGCAUCUAUACUACUGCGGCUAAACCCAACAAAGCUCUGCCUUCUAGAAAAGUUCUCAGAAAACCUCACCUUUGUAAUCUUGGAAAAGGCUGCCAAUUCUAAUCCAAGUCAGAUUGCCCAAGUUGAAGCCUUCAAAGUUUACCUUUAGGAUGCCUGUUGGUGAAGGAGCCAACCCAGCCCUAACUUUCACCACUUCCCUACGUGAGAGGCAGAUGAAUUGCCAAUCUAACAAAACUAAUACUGAAAGAAUUCUAGAAAACUUCUUAGUGAUUGAAAUUAAAAGAGUUGUGAGAAAACAGAUUUUCUCGCAUGGAUCUACUGCCAAUUUCCUCAUAUCAUCAAAGAUCCUAAUAUUUGUUUCCAACCAAAUAACGUCAAAGUAGAUAGGACAGCAAAUCCAUGGUAGCUCUCCAAUUAGGACCCACCUCAAAAGAAAUGACCAGGGAAUCAGGCAUACCUCCAUGAGGCAUGCCAUGCUAGCCUCAUUAUGACAAUUUAUCUCUACCAUGGUUCCAAUGCUAGAACAGUUCUCACUUCCACCACCAAAUUUGUCUAUUAUGUCUUAGUUUCAGAAUUGGUAUUAAUGUGAAUUUGUCAUUAAUUAUAUUGUUCCUUAAAGGAAAUGUGUUUGGAAGUCUAGAAAAAAGGGGGAAAACAAUGGAAUCAAGAGAUGGACAUUGAUUUGAUGAACCGAGUUUCUGUUUAACUUCUGUACAGAGUUGGAAUCUUGCACCAUGCAAAACUGAAUCGAACCUACAAUCAUAUCUCUAUAUAUACACUCAAUUUUGAUGCUAAUUGAUCGAACAAAAAUUUUUGAUACACUAACAGAAUUCUAACUAAAUGAAGCUUCAAGAAGUGCUAUCAUGGAAGAAGCUUUUGGAAGUGCUUACAUGGCAGAAGCUAUUAACUAGGCAUAGCUGAGAUUGUCUUCGCAUGCCCCCUCAAACAAAGGGGGAAUUCCUUCACCUUGAGUUAGGACUUAAGCUUUAAGAAUCAAAUGAUUAAAAGUGGUUUUGUAAACAAAUCUGCCACUUGAUCAACUGAAGGCACAAAUCAUAUAUCUAAUGCCUUUUGAAAUACUUUACUGCGAACAGAAUGCAUAUCGAUUUCAAUAUGCUUAGUUCUAGCAUGAUAAGUAGGAUUAGCAGCCAGUGAGGUUACACCUUGGUUAUCACACCAGAUAACUGGUUUAAUCCUUAAUUGAAGUCUCAACUUUGUUGCCUAAGACUUGAGUCAAAUUAACUUGGCUACUACAUGAGCUAAAGCUUAAUAUUCUGAUUCUGUGCUGGACUAAACAACAACACUUUGUUUCUUUGAACUCCGUGAGAUAAGAUUAGCUCCUAGAUAUACACAAUAGCCUCUAGUUGAUCUUCUAUCCUCCAGACAACUAGCCUAGGUUGCAUAUGUGAAUCGCACAAGAUUUAAAGAUUUGUUGGUUAGAAAUGCAAACCAUGAAUGAUUGUUCCUUUCAAAUAGCAUAACACCCUUUUCACAAGCUUUCCAGUGGAUCUUCUUUGGAGAUUUAGCUUGCUAACUAAGUAUGAGACAUCAUGUCUUAUGACAGUAACAUAUUGCAAGGCUCCAAUUGUACUUCUGUAUGAUGAUGGAUUUUCUAAAGGAUCACCAUCCGAUUUAGAGAGUGUUUUUUUGAAAGUGAUUGGCGUUGGUAAAGGCUUUCUUGUAUCCAUCUUUGUCUUCUGGAGCAAGUCGACAAUAUACUUGGACUGAGUUAAAUAGAGACCUAUUUGAUCUCUGAAAGCUUCAAUUCUUAAGGAGAAAUGCAGAGAACCAGGAUCCUUUAGAAGAAAACUCUCAUUGAGAUCAUGAACCAAUACCCGUCUCUAUUUCCAGUAAUCAAGAUCUUGUCCACAUGCACCAGUAACAUUGAGUCUACUCCUUUGGACUUGUAUAGGAACAAAGAUAUAUCUGACUUUAAGUUCUUAGAGCCCCACUAUAAUAAUGCAUCUUUAAGUCUAUCAAACCAAGCACUUAGGGUUUGUUUCAAACAACACAAAGCUUUCUUUAGUUUGCAAAUAUGAUUAGGCUUGAUAGGAUGAAUGAAACCUGAGAAAGGCAUUUUUUAAUGUUCAACCUCUUAAUCUCCUAGCCUUGAGCUAGAGCUAGGGUUAAUACAACUCUAAUGGUGGUAGGUUUGAUCAUAGGACUGUAAGUUUCUAAAAAUCAACACCUGAAGUUUGAUGGAAUCCCUCGGCUACUAACCUAGCCUUAUGCUUAUUAAGGGUGCCAUCUAGGUUAAACUUUAACUUAAACACCUACUUAUUACCAGGUACAUUAUACUAGGAUUGAUAAGGUACCAAGUCCCAUGUAUGAUUCUUCAUUAAAGCCUUGUAUUCUUCUUCCAUUGCUGCCUUCCAACUUAGAUCAGCAAGAACUUGCUUUACACACAUAGGUUGUGUGGCUUAGGAAUGUUACUAUUUAAUUUCAUGUACUUCUUUUCUCUAUUUGUCGACAUUGCAUGCUUUCUUGAAUUUAACUUAAUAAUUUCUCAUGUGGAAGGAUUUUGGGUGACGAUGGAGGUUGUCUAAUGCAUUCUUUUUAAGCUAUUCACAUCAAGAAUGAGUUAGUAGAAAGGCAAAUAUUGAUGCAAAAGGGAGUUAUAAAUUUUGAAUAAUAACCUUACACUACAAUGUUGCUUUCAUUAAUAUUUUUUUAUACAUUGAUUUUAUUACACCAAUACAAAUUGACCAAGAAAGAUGUAAAUUGUAAGGAGUUGUGGACGUUACUACUUGGUUGCAUGAGUAUAAGCUUCAUAAGUAAUGGAUUAGGUUUCCUUACUUUUCAACCUGUCUUGGUCAUAAUUCAUGGCAAACCUCUUCUUGCCAUCAAUUGGUUUCCAAGGAAUCUUGAGUCAGUUCACCAAGGAUUGAUGUUAGACUGAAAGUUUGUCACAAAAUAUUCUCAAUCUUGGAUCAUACUUCGAUUUUCAAAGCUGACACAGUUGUGACAAGGCUUGCUUGUUCUCAUUCUCUUUGUCUCUUCUCUUUACCCAACUCAACUGACACACAUGAAUAGAUCUACUUUCACUUGGCAUUUUGACUUCAAUUCUCCUCUCAAAAUUUUUGAGUUUGGGAAAAGAGGUGAACUUUGUAUGUUAAUCACAUAAAACUGAAUUCUUUGUUUAAUACUAGAUGAUUGACUAAAGUGAUGGCUAAUAGGGUCAAGAAAGUGAUGGGUAAAGUGGUUCCAAAUUUCAUAAUAUUUUUGUGGAGGGAGGACAAAUUUUAGAUGUGGUGUUGAUAGCAAAUGAGGCAAUGGAUUCAAUGCUAAAGAAGAGAGAUUGUGGUUUGAUGUGCAAGCUUGACAUUGAGAAAGCUUAUGAUCAUGUGAAUUAGGACUUUUUGCUAGCUAUUCUUGCCAAAAUGGGCUUCGGGCAGAAAUGGAUGAAUUGGAUAAAUUGGUGUAUCUUUUCAACCAACUUCUCUGUUUUAAUUAAUGGCUCUCCCACAGGUUUCUUUCAAAGCUCGAGGGGAUUGAGACAAAGGGAUCUUAUCUCCCCUUACUUGUUUGUGAUUGCUAUGAAGGCCCUUAGUAGAUUACUCUUGAAAGUUCAAGAUGACGGUUUUAUUUCAAGGUUCAAAGGGGUUGGGGUGAGGAAAUCUCUCAUCUCCUUUUUGCAGAUGACACUGUUGUUUUUUGUGAGGCCUCUUAGGAGUAAGUCAGUAAGUCACUUUCUUGUGUUGACUUCUCAUGUGGUUCAAAGCCAUGUUGGGGUUGAAGAUUAACUUGGAAAAAAGCAAGAUGAUUCCAGUAAGGGAGAUGGACAAUGUGGAAGAUUUGGCUUGUGAAAUUGGGUGCAAGGUGGGAAAGUUGUCUUCUUCUUACCUAGGGUUUCCCCUGGGGGCAUCUUACGAGUCUGUGGCAGUUUGGGAUGGGGUUGAAGAACGGUUUCAUAAGAAGCUUUCGUUAUGGAAGAGACAACACCUCUCAAAAGGGGGAAGACUCACUUUACUUCGCAAUACCCUUGCUAAUUUACCAAUAUAUUUUAAGUCUUUGUUCAACAUCCCAAGAAUUGUAAGGUUGAGAUUAGAGAAGAUUCAAAGGGAUUUUCUAUGGGGAGGAGGGGCCUUAGAGAACAAAAUGCACUUAGUCAAGUGGUCUUCCGUUUGUAAAGCAAAACCGAAAGGUAGAUUAGGUGUUUGCUCUCUUUCUUUGCUUAAUAAGGCCCUUCUUUGCAAAUGGUGUUGACGCUUCUCUAGUGAAAGAGAUUCACUGUGGAAAAAAAUCAUACAGGGAAAGUUUUGGGAGGAAGAAAGGGGUUGGAAGUCAGGAAUGGUCAAAGAGCCCGAUAGGGUUGGGGUUUGAAAAGAGAUUGGGAAGCAAUGGGAUUUUUUUAAUACAAAGAUUUCCUUUGAGGUGGGUGGGUAAUGGGGUUAGAGUGAAGUUUUGGAAAGAUAGAUGGUGCAGCGAGCAACCCUUAUGUGAGAUCUUCCCUUCCUUGUUUGCUCUUUAUGAUUUGAAGGAGGCAUGGGUAGUUGAUUUUUGGGAGCAAAGUGGAGAAGGAGGAAAUUGAAACUUUCAUUUUGUUAGGAAUCUGAAUGAUUGGGAGUUGAGUGUCAUGGAGAGAUUUCUUUCUAAGCUCCAGGGAUAGACAGUGAAGAGAGAGAAGGAGGAGGAUAGAGUGGUGUGGAAGGAAGAUAUUGUAAGAAAGCUUUACUCUUUGUUGGAGACGAAUUAUACCACUCUUUUCCCUUUAAAGAUAAUUUGGAACUCAUGAAUUCCUUUGAAGGUGAGUUUUUUUACUUGGGAGGCUUGCUGGAGAAAGGUUUGACGUUGGAUCAACUUCAAAGAAAAUGGCGGAUGUUGGCUAAUGAGUGUGCUUUGUGUAAAGAGGAGUUGGAGUCCAUUGAUAAUAGCCUUCCUUCAUUCAAACAAGGCAAGAAUUUUAUGGCAACCGGUGUUCUCCAUUUUUGGUGUUCGAUGGGUUUUAUUUGAGUCAAUUAGGGAGACUCUCCUUGGGUGGUAUGACUCUUUUGUAGAUAGGUGUAUUAAGGCUUGGAGAGCCGCUCUUUGUAUUUUUUGGACGAUUUGGAAGGAAAGAAAUAAGAGAUUCUUUGAUAGUGAGGAAUUGCUUGUUCAAAGGAUAAAAAAUAUUUUCCUUAACAAUUUCUCUAUGUAGGUUAGGGUGUAUAUAAGCGGUGGGUAUAUGAAUAUGGUUGACUUCAUAGAUUGGUCGAGAUCUGGUUGAGGGAGGGAGUAUUUUUUGUGUAUUCCCUCUUUCCUUUUUUGGCCAAGUGCAUUUUGUAUGCAUCCUAUGUACUCUUAUGCACUUUUAACACUUAUUAAUACAUUCUCUUACUUAUAAAAAAAAAAAUGAUAUUUCUUUUUUGUAGUCUAGCUGAAAUUCUUAGGAAAUGAAGUUGGGUUGUUCUCUUUGUGAACAACCGCUGCAAACCUGCAGGAAAUUAUUUUCAGAAUAAUUUUUAAUGUAAAUUGAUUUCAUUUUUCAAUUCUCUGUUUCUGAUUUUAGGCCAAGCACUAAACUGUGCCUUUUAGUUGUUUUAGGUCUUUUCUUUUUUAUAUAGUUUAUAUUUUAUUUUUUUACCUUUCUUGAUCGAAAAAGUAUGAGUAGAACAUAUUGCUUUUGAGGAUUAGCCAUUUUGGCAAUCUGAAAUUUUGAAAUUCAAAAGUUCCUACUCGAGCAAAAAUUGAUCAUGCUCUUACCAUUAGCAUGAAGUAAUAUAGAAUUUGAAAAAUUGAAUGACAUUAUGAUUUUGAUACUGAGACAAUCAACUCAAACAUGUGAACAAUAAAUCCAUGUUGGAUCCUUGUGAUUUUGACUUUUUAAUGCACCAUUGUUGUAAGUUACUGACAUUGCUCUCAGUUUUCUUGGUAACUGAAACCUCACCUUGCUGAUAAGAUAAGGAACUGAUUUUUGUAUAAACUGCAGAUAAUUUUGACUCAUGAACAUGCUGAUGCAGUUCUUGGUUUGGAUGAUAUGCGUGCUGUUCAGCCAUUUAGUCCUACAAAUGAUAUCAGUCCUACUCCUGUUUACCUCAGUCAGUAUGCAAUGGAGAGGUACUUCAUCUAAACUUUUCAAGUGAAACCAUGUGUUGUUUCACCUAAUCUAUUAACCAUUUUCAAGUCACAUAUUUGCAUUAUCAACAUAUAGUUGUGAUGCAUGUAAAAUUAUUGGUGGAGUAACUGAAUAUGAGGUGGGGCAAUUAAAUAUUUUUAAAGCAGUCCCAAAUAAUGAUGAAGUUCGAUAUUUUUUUUCCAUUUUUUUCUUUUUUUCUUUUUCCUUGGGGUGGGUGGGGGGAGGAGCGACGGGAGGGAGGGAGGGAGAGAAGAAGGAUGGCCCCUCCCAAUUCCCUAGUUCUGCAAGUAGGGCCUGUCCUCUUGACUGAUGAUAUCCAUUCUGGGUCUUAUGACUAUGAAUUGAAAACUUUUGACUUACUGAAAAAUGGCUGAACUACUUGAAGUGGUAGGAAGUGCAGUUGGAUUGGCACAUACAGGACCAGUGUUUCACAGGAAAGUCACCUUGUUAUUGAGGUAGUUGUACACAUCACACAAACAUACAUGUGAUUUUCAAACUGUUUAUUUUUAUUUUUUCAAUUCUUUGACUUGUUUAUAUUCAUUUAUUUUUGUUAUUCAGUCCACUUGCCAAGAACCUUGACUGGCUUUCCAUAGUUUGUGCAUCAUAGUAGAGACAGAGAUAAAGUGAUACCUUAUUCAUAUUUCUUCAUCAUAGAACUUCAAAUUCUGUUUAUGAUUUUACAACAUCCUGUUCUGGACAAGUUGAUUGGUUUUAGUCCAUUUCAUGCUUCAAUUGUUAUCCUGUCAAUUAUGAUUUAACAUGUACAACUGCUUGAUUUUACAUUGUUUUAUCUUGCAAACAGCAUUGCCACGAAAUUUCCAUACUUGGUUAAGAAAAAACUUAAAGAAGGCCAAGAACUGAGACGGGUAGCACAGCUUGACUGGAAAAUAAUUGAAAGCAACCAUGAGAAACCAUUUGUUGCAUCAGGCCUGCAAUUUGUUCCUUUGCCAGUUACUUGCUCCAAAUCUCUCUCGAUAAUUAUUUCUACUCUAUAUUCUGUUUUAUGUUUUUUCUCAAUGUUUAUUUUUAAUGUAGGUGAUGCAUGGAGAAGACUAUCUCUGUUUGGGCUUUCUUUUUGGUGAAAAAUGUAAAGUAGCUUAUAUAUCUGACAUAUCACGUUUUCCAUCAAGCACUGAGUAUGGUGAGUAUUGAUUUAGUCCCCUUGUUAGUAUAGACACACACACACAACACACGCGCACACACACAUGAGGAUGUAUGUAUGCAUUUAUCCCUUGUAUUUGCAUGUCUCAAAUUACACAUCCACCACAGCAAACAUUGAGAUGGGUCCUUUAUUUGAUGGUAUUCACCUUUAAAAGCUUCAGAGAGUAAUGUGAAGUAUGAUCCAAUUGUCUGAUUUACUGAAUGUGUAUGUAAUCUAGAAAAAAGAAAAAAAUGAUACAGAUUUGAUAAAGACUUGCAACAUUGCUACAAACUGCAGAUCCUUCCAAUUGGAAAUCUCCUACAUGCAGCCAUAGAAUGAUGGGAACACUUUUUAUAAACUAGCAUGUGUACUUAAUUUUGCUAGGUUUUCCCAUUCUUGAUUUCUAUGUUUCAAAGAAUUUGAAUUCCUUUAUGAAUAAUGGUGCUAAGCGUAUUUGUGAUAAAUAUGUUGAAUACACACACACAUACACACACAUAUUAUGCUUAGUAGCCAACAGCUUAAACUUUUAGAGUAAGUGGUAGUUUCAUGGUAUCAAAGCUUUUUCUGGAAGUCUUGCAUUAUGGCCUUUCUGUUGGUUAUUCUUCAUUCGUUCAAACCACAUACCAGAUGAGGCCACAAGUGAGGUGAGGAGUUAAAUGUUAGCCAUCUUGAUAUUCAUGGUUCACUUAUUACCUAAUUGCCCAUGCUUCUGGGGCAAGAGGUAGUUUAAGCAUAAUCACAUUUAUUUGGUAAAGUAUGAAGAAGGAAUAUUCCAUUUAAUUGUUAUGCAGCAAACGAAGAUCACUGCCAUCUGUUAUAGGUGAGAGUGAUUCAAAUUACAAGUAUACAUAUCUAAACAUCUAACUAUUAAUAAUUUUCAUUUCAUUGGAAGGAAGUGAAAGAAAAUCCAAAGGUGAAGAAUGCUAAUGGAUUUCUAAUGGAGGAAUUAAUUUGUCACUGAUCUUGUCAUCUUGAACCAUAAUGAAGAUUAAUAUUGAGAGGGAAAAACUAAAGAUGUUAGUAGUUUCAUCAAUUAUGGCAUAAGGCAAUGGAUAGAGUGAAAGCUGUACAUACACUUGAUUUACAGCUUCAAUGUUUAAGCACAUACCCUUUUACUUGAAAAUGGUGUAGUUUUAAGUCAUACUAGAUGCCAUAUGUGAAAUUGUGUUUUCCAAUUACUAUUUGUUAAGGAAGUUAUGGUUCUGCAGUUAUUUCAAAAAAUGGAGGUGGACAGUUGGAUCUGCUUAUCUUGGAUACAUUGUAUAAGGUCAGUCAACAAUUACAUAUCUGAUUGUUACUUCCUAAUCACCCGCCCAGUACAUUUCAUUACAAUUUGUUGAUUUUGUGGUGGGGAAAAAUUCUAUAUGCUGACCCAUCUACACACACUAUGACUUUGACAUUUGGAGCUUGACUGAUAAUAGAAGUAGCAUCAGUAUCUUCUUUCAAUAUUAUUUAGUUGAUUUUAUAUUUGAAAAUAAAAUGACUUAAAUCGGGAAUAACUUUUUUCUUGCCCAUUUUUUUUCUUCUCUAUACUUAUCUUUUUCCCAUGUUAUUGUGUAAUUUCUUAUGACUCAAUGGAAAGUAUGAC